AGAACAUAUAACUAAAACAUAGAGGUUUUUGAAGUAAUUUAGUAUGAAAAAAUGCUCUAGAAUGAUAUAUUUUUGUCCUUCAUUUGAAAAUGUGAAUUUUUUAGAUAAACAUAUAAAUAGUUUUAAUUUUUAUUUAUUUAUUUUUCUUUCUUAUGAAAGAAAAUAUCUAGUAUUUAAAGAUAUAAUGUUUGUAAAUCUUGAGUACUUAUACUUGUGGAAUUGCAGUGAGCCCUUGUCUGCAUCUUGUAAUACAAGAGAACGUCAAACUGGCAAGGCUGAUUGGCUUACUAUUAUUGUAAGUGAUUGUACUUAAGUGUUUAUAUUUAUAAAUAUAAUUUUUUAAUUGAUUGAGAAUUUAUACACUUUAGAGGGGAUUUUUAGUCAUAUUUGUAUCUUUAUUUUAUGAAUACUAGGGUAAGUUAUAUAAUUAUAAAUUUUUAAUUUAGUUAAAUUAAGACACAAUGUCCAUACUUAGUUAGGUAGUAAUAUUGAAAAAAUAUAUAUGUUAAAAUAAUAUAUUUGAAACUUUGGUGCAGAGUUUUUUGAUUGCAUUUUUAGCCAUAGUGUUUGCCACAUAUACCACUGGCAUUGAUUCUGAGGCUUUCUCGGUACCCCUUAAACCUAUUUGGUGAUAUUUUCUUAGUCAUUGUAUCAUUUCAGCAACAUGCUUUUAAUAUAGGAUUUUCUUAUCUAAUUUACUUAUUUUUAUUUAUUAGUAUAUUGCACUUAUUGAAAUAUUGAUUAGUGUCUUAUUAUUACAAAUGUUGCAAUUUGAAACUUAAUGUUUUUAUGUGCACAUGCAGUUCAAGAAAAAAGAUGAAUCAAAAGAUGAUGGAAGUUUGCCUUAUAGUUAUGGAUUCUUCCACUUUGUUUUUGCAUUGGGUGCAAUGUACCUUGCUAUGUUAUUUGUGGGUUGGAAUCUACACCAAACCAUGCACAAGUAUGGACAUUUUUUACUUAGUAUUUGCUUUUGUGCUUAUUCUAAUUUAUUCUAUAUAUCAUAGAUAAAUUUUAAAUAUAUUCAUAACGUUUCAAUUUUUUUUUUUUUUUACAAUUUAACAUCAUUGAUUUUUUUAGUGUAAAAUUACACUAGUAUAUAAUGUUUAUAAAUCUAUACCUCAAUUUCCUUAAUCAAUCUAUUUUAGUCUAUUAUUUGAUACUUAGAAAUGGUUUGGCAUUGCAGAUGGAGUAUUGAUAUUGGUUGGGCUAGUGUAUGGGUAAAAAUUGUCAAUCAAUGGCUUGCUGCUAUAAUAUAUGGUAAGUUAACUUGUUUUUAUAUACUUUAGUUUUUUUUGUUAAUAAACUUUCAAAUUAAGUAAGAAUUUGAUGUUUAUUUUGAACAUGAAGUGAUUUUAAAGUUGGUUGUUAAUAUACCAAGUGUUUUAAUAAGUUAUAUUUAUUUUGAUUAUUGCAUUUUGAUGUGGGUAUGUUAAGUUAAGUAUUUGUAGUUUAAUUGAUUACAAUCUCAAUAUAUGUUUUAUAACUUUUAUUAUUGUAUUUUUUUGAAAUUUGUAAUAAAUUUAUUUUUAAUGAUAAAGCACAUGUGUUUUUCUUAUGCAGGUUGGACAAUGAUCGGACCUUUUGUACUCAAGAAUAGAGACUUUAGUUCAUGAAAUGUCCUCAAUACUUUGAAUUAAACAUGGUUGGUUGUAUGUUGUAGACAUCUUUAGAGUCUCAAUUUGCUAAUCAAUGAGAUUGUACUUAGGUGGUUUUUAUUCUUUGAUUUUGUGGGUAAUAUUUAAAUAAAAAAUAAAAAAUACAAAAAAAUCCAACUCCUUGACUACUUAUAGUUAGAGAAAAGGGUAAAAGUUAUUAUAAUUUUUGUUUCUUAGUCAUUAGUUGGAAGUACAUAAGAUGAAUGAAAGAUCUUUAUUCAUAGUUGGUUGAGUAGUUUUGGUUGGAAUACAAUGUUUUGUCAUAUAUUAAAGGCACAUAUUAAAUAUAGUCUUCAAAAUGGACUUUUGCAUAAUUUAUUUCAAGAGAUUAAUGUGUUUAUUUUUUUUAUUUUAACUUCUUUUUUUGAAAGAAAGAAAUAAUCUUUAACAAUAUUUAUGAUUAGCACAUAAAUUAAUAAACAAAAUAAAUUUUAAUAGCAAAUAUUUAUGAUGUUUAUAUUAAUUGUAAUCAAAUAAAAAAACUUUGGUUGCUUCAAAUGGUUCUCAUAUAAUAUCAAAGUUAUUGAAAUUGAUCUUAACAAUUUAUUAAUUGUAUGUGAGUGUUAAUUACUUUCAGUCUUCUUUUGGCAAUUUAAUAAUUUUUUUAAGAACAUUAGAUUCAAAAAUAUAAAUGUUUCUAAAAUUCACUAUAAUGAUACUAAGGUAAUUUUAAUACAUUGAAUGAUUUGGUUUAAUUUUAUAAAUAAAUUUGCUAUAAAUAUUUUAUUAUUAGAUUCGAUGUUUACAAUUUAAUAUACAACACUAUUUUUUAUUCUUAAAAACUAUUAAUUAAUAUUCUAGUUUUAUUAAAUAUUUUUGUUAGAUAAAUUAAACUUAUUUUGAAAGUAAACUUUUAUGAUUUUAAAAUUUUUUACUUAAUUAAUCACUUCUUAUCUAUAGAAAUAUAAUUUGAAUUGAGAUUAUAUAUGUGUGUAUAUAUAUAUAUAUAUAUAUAUAUAUAUAUACAUAUAUAUAUAUACAUACAUUAAAACUUAAUUUCAAAUAUUAAACAUGUUGUUAGAAUUUUUUUGUCAACUUAUGACUAUAAUCACAAUUUUGUUUUUUAUAUGUUACAAAUAGAUCUUAAUAAAAGCUCACAACUUCUUAAAGAUUUAAUAUACGUGACUACAACUUUAUUCAAUUAAAUAAUCUAGAUUUUUCAAUAGACAUUUUAAAAAUAUUUGAGUUUAUUAAAAUAUUGUUGAUACACGCUUAGAUUUAAGAAUUGAUGUUACACCUGUAUAAUAUAUUAUUUCAAAAAAUAUGUAUUAUCAAUGUAUUUUGAAAGAAAAACAUUAUAUGUAUUAUUGACUAUUUAAAUUCUUAAGUAGAAUCUACAAAAAAGACUAAAUACAGGAACUAAAUAUUAUAGAUUAAUAUUUUAACAAAUAUAUUAUAUUAUAUUAUAUUGUGAAGCCAAUAAAAUAUCAAAAUCAUUUAAUCACAUGCAAAUUUUAUGAUAUGUAUAACAAUCUAAUUAAUUUAAUUAUGUUAUAUUCUUUCAAACUUUAUAAUCUUAACUACAAAUUUUUUAGGAUCAAAGAAUUUGCAUAUAUAAAACCGUCAUAUUAAUUAGUGGGUUUUAGAAUUUUUAAGUUUUGUAGAAUUUUUAAGAUUAAUUCAAUUAGAAAAUAUUAGAAUAAAAAAAAUAUUUCACUAUUUUUGAAAUAUUUAUUAAUUAUAUAUUUCAUAGUUUUAUUUUAUUCAGAAAUUAUAUAUAUAUAUAUAUAUAUAUAUAUAUAUUUAUUUAUAUACUUCAAAUGAUUAAAUUAUAAAACAUAUAAAUGAACCAUAGAAUAUCAUAUUAUUGAUUUAAGAACUUAUUAUGCCAAUGUAAUAGCUCACUUCUAACUAACAAAGAUGUAAGAGAAUUUACCAAUUGAAAUGAAUUUUAGAUUUGGACUCUUUAAGCACAAGUCUUUGAUUAAAUACAACAGAAUUUGUGGUAAAAACAUAAUACUAAUUAAUCCGCCACUAAGAAUUCAAUUUAUUUAGAAAUACUCAUUUAAUUAGACCUCAUAAGAACCUAAAUAUGUCACAUAAUUAUAUGAUAAUUUUAUUAGUUUUGGAAGCUAAAUUAUUAAUUAAUAUCAUCAAAUAUUUAAAUAUAAAUAUAAUUUUGUAAAUAAAAGUUAAAAUAUUAAUAUUAUUAUUUUAACUAUUAUUAUUUAUAUUAUUAUAUUAUAUUAUAUUAUAAAAUCUCAUAAAAUAUAAUCAAAUAAAUUUAUAAUAAUAUGAUUUUUUAUAUUAUUUUUUGAAAUCUCCUAAAAUACAAUCAAUAAUUAUAAUAAUUUAUAAAUAAUUAAGUAUUAAAAAACCACAAUAUUUUUAUUGAAUGUUUUUUUUAUAAGAAUAUACAAUAUUUGUUAAUAAAAUUUUAAAAUAUGUAUUUUUAUUUAACAAUGUAUAUAUAUAUAUGUCAUUGAUAUAUGUAUUUAUCUAAAUUAAAGAAAUAAUAUAAAAAGUAAGUAGAAGUAAAUUUGAUAAUAUCUUGAGGAUGAGCUUUUCACAAAGCUUCAUAGAUGCAAAUUUGACUUUAUAUGUAUUGAUAAGUAUUUAGUAGGUUGAAAAUUUUGCCAUCAAGUUGGUUAUGUCUUGCACAUAUUGGUGGUAUAAGUUGGCCAUGUGGCAGAUAUGUGUGAAACUUGUUUUGCAAGUUAGACACAUGUUAGAAGUCAUAUAAAACAUUGCCAUGUAGUUCCUAGUUAGAUAAUAUACAUAUAUAUAUAUAUAUAUAUAUAUAUAUAUAGAGAGAGAGAGAGAGAGAGAGGCUACAAUGAGGUUGUCUUCACUCUUGUUAACAUCUUUCUCGUUUAGUCUUGUUUCAAGAGUCUCUAGUCUUCUAGUCUUUGGCAAUAGUCAUUCUAGCUUUAAUAUUAUACUAUCUUCAAGUGAACAUGUAUUUUUUUUAAGUAAUAGAAGAGUGUAUUGAUAUUUUGAUUGUUUUAUUUAUUUAUUUAUUUAUUUAUUUGAUACAAUAAUUAUUUUUAAUUUUAUUAAAUUUAAUAAUCUAAAUGGUUUCAAUCCACCUACAAAAGAUAAAAUUUAGUUUUAAAUUUUUUUAAAAUAAAACUAUCCAAAAUAUAUAGAAAAAAUAUCAUAUUUAAUUUUUUAUAAGUUAUGAGAUAUUAAAAAAUGUAAUAUUAAUUAUUUUAAUUUUAAUAUAAUUUAUGUAAUUUUUUAUAAGUAAUUUCUUUAUAUAUAUAUAUAUAUAUAUAUAUAUAUAUAUAUAUAUAUAUGUAUUUUUGGAUUCUAUUUUUAUUAUAGGAUUAUAAAAAAUUAAAAUUUAAUAUUGAUUUUUAUUAUAAAAUUAAAUUUAAAAUCUAUUCUAAUAUUUUUAUGAAUAAAAUUCUAUAUUAAAUUUUUAUAUUUUAAUUUAUUAUUUUUAAAAAUUAUUAUUAUUUUAAUGGAAUAUUUUUAAAUAAGUUAUGUUUUUAUUUUAUUUUAUUUAGAUAUGCUUUAAAGUUUGGUAUAUAAAAAAAUAAAAAUAUUUUAAUUAUAUUUAUUAUUAUUUUUGAAUAUAUAUAUUAUAUAAUUUCUAAAAAGAUACCUCUUUUUUACUUGUAAACAUCUUUUGUGCUAUGUAUCCCUGCAUAUAUACAAUAAAACUCUUAUUUACAUCAAAAGAUUAUUUAAAUGGAUUUAAUAAGAUUUUAAUAGUAAUUGAAAGAAUUGCAUGGAAUAUGUUAUAAUUUUUAAAAAUAUAAUCAAAAAUAAAAUUGCCCUAAGGCAUUGCACACAAACAUUUUGCAAUAAAUUUACUCCAAAACUUUUUAGUGUAAAUAAAAACUUUAUUGUGUAUUUGGAGGUGCAUGGCAUGGAGGAUAUUCAUGUAGUAAAAGAGAGGUGUCCACCUAGUGGUUCCUCUAAUAGAUUUAAUGAAAAUAAAAAAUAUAUAUAUACAUAUAAUAUUUUAAUACUUCAUCUUAUGAAACAAAAUCCAUUUUUAAAUUUUUUUUUAUGAAAUUACAUAUAUUUAUUGUUACAUUACAUCAAUGUAAAUUUUCAUUCAAAUACUUGUUAUCACACUUUACACAUAGUUUUUUAACAAAUUAAAGAAGAAUUUAUUAUUCACUUUGUUCCCUCCAAACAUAGCCUCUUGCAGUGAUCAACUCAACAAGUAUUGAGUAGAUCACACAAUCAUCUGAUCGAGAUGAUGUUCACAUCCACAAGCAUCAAUAAUAAUAAAAAUAGUUUGAAUCAUGCCAUACUAUUUCAUUCCACCUACCCACCCACAGUAAUUGACUAGAGUCGGGCCUCACCAAAGCAAAACAAAGUGAGAGGAGGGUAGGUUCGGAGGGAGGUUAGGAUUAGAAAAGGAGCAGGGUUGGGAGGGAGGCUAGGAUUAGAAAAGGAGCAGGCUCGGAAUGGAGGGGCCCCGUUCACACCGCACGGGGGGAGGGGCAGGGAGCCGUGUGAGGGAGACACGAGUGUCGAAGGUCCGCAUGAAACUAGAAACGUGACUGCUCGACCCUCUCGCUCCCUUCCCCUUCCCUUUCCCUUCACACUGCCUCCAUUCUCUUCCCUUCCCUUCGCAAAGUGAGAGAGAGUACGCACACGGGCACUGUGGCAAUGACAUCCAAGCUGGUCCUAAGCACGGAUUGAAACGUUGCCGAGUCACGGCUUGCAAUUGUUUUACUGUCACCGUUCGGGCGACUACCAAGCCGAGGUGCUCUUUGUUUCCUGCGUUAGGGUUCCACCAUAGCCACUGUGUUUGCCACUCACGAUUCUCUGCCAUUCUCCGCCUGAAUAUUUUCUCGUUGCAUUGAGAGGAGGGGUUGACGUUGGAUGUAGCAGACGCCGGGAACCAGGAUAGACGCGGAAGCGGGGGUUGCGUUGGUGUUUGCGGGAGGGCGUGGGGUUUUAGUCGUGCACGAAUGGCAGACGACCAAAGGCGUGAGUAUGGCCACUCGCCUCCGCCGCGGUCGCACAACGGGGAUAUCGGCUCCAUGGAGCGCCUGAACGGCGAGAGGAGGCGCGAGGUAUGGUGUGUGGUUUGGUUGCGCUUUUAUGUCGGUUGCCUCGUUAGGUGGUACGACGUCGAUUGUGAAGCGCAUGUGAUGGAAAUGCAAUUGGUGAUGUUCUAGUGGCUAGAUUUUUAGGAGCGUGGCUGCACUUAGCGAGAGCUGAUACUGCGGCUCUGUGAUCCGUGCUCAUGACGCUGUACAUUUCUGUUGUGGCAUAUUUGAGGCCGUAUGAGGCCGUUGACGGCAAAUUUUGAUGAAAUUUGCAUUGAUUCUUUUGAAUUCUCUGCACGAUGGUUACUUUAUUUACUAUUUUUUGUUUUUCAUUCUCCAUUUUCCUCUUUUUUUCUCUGCAACAGAGUAUAUGAGCGGUGUUUGAGUACACGAUUGGCAUGUUGAGCAGCUGAUCGAGUGCGAUCAAUGGAAAUUCUUUGGUUGUGGAUGCGGGUGACCAGGUGUCCUGGAUAGAGGCAAUUGUUUCGUGUUGCAUCUUUAGCGAAUGCUGCCCUAUUUAUUAGUUCCCUUUUAGUUAGUAUCUUACGCCUGUAUCUCCGAAACGCACGUCUUUUCUAUUUGCACCAGCUCGUUGACAAGCAUGUUCGAAGCAACAAUGUCGUGCACUGUGGAGGCCUUAUUGCACUUCAUUGAUGUCUACUUCGUGUUCUUAACAACGGAACCUUUUCGAUUCAGGGGCAUAUUUUUGAGGAUAGAUUUACGACGAUGUGUACUAUCUUCAACGAUUAUUAUAAUCAUCGUUCAGAUAGUUCUAUCGCCUAAAUUUUCAUACGUGACGACAUAUCCAAUCCAAUUAUAAUUAAAAAAAUAAAUAAAUUAGUAUGCCAGUUUGAACAGUUAUUUUCAUGAAGCUCUUUUUGUUGAUUCAACAGACCUUCAUACGAGAGCGUGAUUGAGCUGAGAUGCUUAUCAAUAUUUUCUUCCAUGGCAGAAUACUACUAGAACGUGUGAGAUAUUGCAGAUGGCUUGUACUAGGUUUAGUAAUCCAAGUUAUUGUCCCUCUUUUGCGGAACCAUAUCCGCCGUGGAAUGAAGCAAUAUACUCUUUGUACUUAGCAUGCAUCAUGUUGUGGUUUUCUUUGUUUUGCAGCGCACCUCUCGAGAAUCUGAUAGGGAAAGAGAAAGGAACCAGGAUAGGGGUCGAGACAGGGGUAAAGGUCGACGCCACCGUGAUGUGGAUGUGGAUCGCGAAAGAGACAGAGGAACCAGGGAUAGAGGCAGGGACAUCGACUCCGAACGUCAUCGCGGCCAUGACAGAGACAGGUGAGUGCCUCGGGAGACUUUUGCUGAACCCUUUGGUCCUCUAUAGUGUGACUGUAAGUCAUACUACCUAUUUCAUGAUCUAGUUUUUCUAUCUAACCUCAGCAGCUAUAAGUAAUAUGCCACAUAUCUGAUAUCGGAGCUGGCAAUUAUUGCAGACGUGGUCGCGAGUAUGGAGGCGAUCGGGACAGGAGGCACCGCUAUCGAUCUCGAUCGUCCUCUCGGGGGCGCUCACGGGAUGUUUCUCGUUCUAGGUCUCGUUCUAGAUCCCGUUCAAGGAAAACAAGUGGAUUUGACAGGGCCCCGUCGGGUGCAGCUGUCAGUUCUGGUGCUUCUGUACCAGGUGUGUGCUGCCACGAGCUUAGUGCGACAUUUUCUGAGAGUUGAGGACUUGAUAUCUGGUGUAAUAACGGAUUCGAUUAUGGUUGUUUUGAUCUGCCUUAGAUGGAAACGUUAUGAAUAAUCUACAUUCUAUGUUGGGGGUUUCUAGUAGUCCAAUGCAAAGACAUGGCACGAAUACUAUCUUAGGUUUGAAGUCGCCUACUUCGCGAACUUUGAGAUUACAUUUGAUUACUUGUUUUAAAUAGAUAUAUGUCUGCAAUUUCAGGUAUUGAGCGUCAAUUUCAAGCGGGGAGCGAUAGAAAUGCAUGUGGUGGUUUACAACCCCAGCAGUCGAAUAAGAUGGGAGUAGACGACGGUGCUCAUGCUCAGCAGUCAGAGGUUUAUGAUGAUGGAUCAAAUGGUGGUGAGGCGCAAGGUAACAAGUCAGUAGCUGCUCCUGUUGUGAAGCCUGGGAAGAGCUCCAAGUGGGGGCCUGCACCUUCUUCAGAGGAUGCUAUGUCUACAGAAGUUGCCAAUGAUUUUCAGGCUGCCAAAAUUGCUGCUGUCAGAGCAGCCGAACUUGGUGAGUGACUAAUUUGGUUGUGAGACUAUUGCUUCACAACAUUUUAAACUGUUUACUAGUUGCGUGUAAUACUAAUGUUUAACCCACGUCAAGCUUUUCAAGGGCGUGUAGUGGUGUUUGAUGUGGGUGGGAAGAGAGAACCUUUUAGGAAAUCACUGAUUUUGUGUUGAUCUAUGGUGGGUUUUUAGUGAACAAGAACUUGAGCUUAGCAGGAUUUAUGUCUGCCGAUCACAAGAAAAAGCUUCUUUGGGGUAGCAAGAAGGCUCAGGUGGAGCAGGUAAAGCUAUUUGAAUGUUGAUCUGGUAGUUACCGAAGAUGUGGUGGUCGUCAGAGGGAAAAUUCUGUUGUCGGAUACCUUUCAGGCCUUUUGUGCUCCUGCUUGAUUACCUUACUGUCUACAUGAUUCGCUGAAUAACAAUUGUCAUUUUGCUAACGCAAGGUGCACUGUUUUCCCUUCCUUUUGGAAGCCUGGCUGAGAAUUUAGCACAUUGACAUACAGGAGCCGGUCGUAGCAGCAGCGGGAACAAAUCGCUGGGAUACUGUUCAUUUCUCCGACAGGGAUCGCAUGGAGAAGUUUCACAAACUCAUGGUAAGCUCAUAACAGGUUGCGCCUUUGUUGAUGAAGUAUUAUGACAUUUUUGUUUCAGAUUAUUCGUGUGAGUGUCCACUAUUCUUUUUUGCGUGAUUAUCAACACAGUUAUCGAGUGGCUUGUGAAUAGAAGUGGUUUUUAUUAUGAUGUUGAGAGAUUGCUAUAUGGAGAUAUCCUUCUCAUAUUGUUGGGUUGCAGGGUGUCAAAGGCGAUAUUAAGGAAGGUGAGGCUCCACCUCCACCUCCCAAUACAGGUAUAUUCACUGAAGAAAAGCAGAGGGAGCUUCAAGAGGAUUUGGAGAAGCAAUUCACUCAGGGGCUCCGAAGACGAGACGGCCGGACAGUUGGAUUAGGAUUGUAGCAAGUACAGGAAUGGUUACCAAUUUCAUAUUAAGAUUGGAAACUACAGAGAGUUUCUCAUCUUGCUCUUGAAGAACGUCGCCCUCUUCAGUGCAGCUGCUUCGUGGGCAAUAUAAAUGCUGUAAUGUAGCAAAUCAAUGGAUACAGCAUUGAGUAGUUUCCCCGAGCAUACAAAGCCUGUUCAUACUGAAUAGGAUCAAGACAGAGCUGGGUUUGAUCUUCCACGCCUGCAACGCCUACUUUAAUCUCUUAACGGAUGCGAAAUGGGUAGUCUCGUACAUAGAAAGAACCGAAUAGGCACGUUUGUCAUUGUUUUGACAUCAUGUUAAUUUAGGGUCAUAUCUUUGAUGAGUGUAAAUAACUUUUAUGUGCGUGUGAUGAGUACCUAAUUGUCUUCGUUUGCAAAAUGGACCUGUGGACCUCUUUUUUAACUGCGACUUGUUGGUAUUUGAAAGACAGUUACAUGUUUCUCGAUAUUGUUGGAAACGUUUGAGAAGAAUCUGCGUCCUAGACUAAUGUGAGACCUAAGAAGCCGAACUUGGAAUCACGUUUUGAAAACAAAAUCAGGGUAUCCGAGUCUCAAUGAAUUUUAUACUGUUUGUGGAUUAUUUUUCAGCUGUAGUAAUUUCAAGAAUGCGUUUUUUUGGUUUUUAUUUUUAAGUAUAUAGAAUGAGGCAUAAGGGCUUCUUGAAUCAAUCUUCAUGUGAAUGCAUAAUGAUUAUGACGAAAGUUGUUUUAGAAUGCCAAAACACACUGUUUCACAAUUUCAAAUGGAGGCAGAACUCUUCAUGGAUGAAUGUAUAGUUUUGGAUGAGGAAGCAAAGUCCUUUAUGGAUGAAUGCGUGAGCUUGGACGUGGGUAGUCCUGUUCUUGGCAAAGAAGCAUUGAAGGUGCAUCAUUUAUUGGGAAGCUUCUUUGAGAGUCUGAGCUCUGUUUUUAUUUAUUGAUUUAUUUACUUAGAAUAUUUUUUGUGAAGUUUUUUCAAUCCAUGUUUUCCAAAACUUUAAUGACCUCAUUCAGAUUAAUUUUGAUAUCAACUCUUGUAUUCAUUCUGUUUUCUGUUUUUAUAUCCAAGGAUUGAGAGUUUAAGAUCAAAUUCAACUUCGAUUAAAUUUAGGUUUUCUAAAUCUGUCAUGUGAAAUUUGAGGUAGGUUUAUUAUUUCCUUUUUAAUUAAUUAAUUAAUUAUUUAUUUAUAUUCAAUUCACAUUUUAUAAAACAACACUUAAUACUCUUGAAAAUAAAUGCAGAGUUUCAAACAGUAUAGUUUUUUGAAGUGAUCAAGCAAAAUACUGUUCUGCCAAUAUUAAAAUAUCAAAAUUCAGUGUAUAAGGUGUUUUAGUUUUCCAUUAUUGUUAGUGAUUCCAUUAGUCAUUGUCAUUUAUAACUUUAUAUUAUAUAAUAUAUAUUUUUACAAAUUUGAUGUAAUUGAUUUUAUUUGAAAACAUCAAAUUACAUAAUGAGAUAAUGUUUGCAUAACAUUUAUGUUUUAGAAAUAUGCAAUAGAAAUGUUUGAACUAAAGUAUUGUUUUGAUUUUUUGUUUAUAUACUUAUUUCAUUAAAUUAUGUUGAUCAAAUGUAGGUUUUAAAAUAUCCUAUAUGCAACACGUUGUUAUUGAAUUAUGACAAGUGUGACGUCCAAUCUCACAAAUUUCAUGGACUUGAAAGAGGUUAGUGCGACUCUUGACAAAUUGAAAGAAAAUGCAUUAAAAAAGAUCCGAUCAAUAAAUGAUAUUCAAGAUGAUGAUUUUGAAAACAACUAUAACCAUGAAAGUCAAUUGGAUUUUGAUGCAAACAUAUACAAAAAUUAUAAUAUGAUCAAUCCCAUUAAAGAAACAUCAAAUGAGGACGUGUAUUUUAACAAAUACAAUUGCUCAAACCUUAAAAUAUACAACCUACUCAAAAGCAAGGCUUCAAAUAAAGGGCAAGAGAUGAAUAAUAUUGUGGAGCAUGAUUUAGUGAACAUAGAUGAAUGCUUCUUUGACAAGUAUGAACAACUUUACAAGAGCCCUUGUUCAUACACAAAACAAUAUAAGAAGAGUGGUUGUAAUGAUAUAGGAGGAGCUCUUGAGGAUGGUAAUUACAAGUAUCUUUACAUCAUUUAGGUUAAAUCUUUGCAUUAUAAAAACAAACAUAUUUCAACUUAUAUUUAUUUAUUGCACUCUACCAAUCAUUAGUUUUAUCAACUACAAUGUGAAAGGUCUGUAACUUAGGUUUUGGCACAACAGAGUUGUGUGUGUGUGUGGAUAUAUAUAUUUAUAUAAUUUAUCUAUUUAGGUUUGAACACAAUAACAUUUAUUUAUUUAUUUGUUUGUUUGUGUUCCUUUUCUUCUGCAGAGAAUGGGAAGUUUCAAGAUAUACCGCAAGUUUAUUCAGAACGUCAUGUUUCUUAUGACCCAAGCAUAAAAAUUCCAAGUAUGAAGAUCAGUGAAGUUCUUACAACAUUAAUUGUAAACCCCACAAAGCAAUUAUCUGAAUCCAUUCCUGCUAUCUCAACAGAUCCUGAUAUGAAUUGGACUCCACACAAUGGUGUAUUACAUUUUGCAACAAGUAAAUCAAUGUCCUUUACAUAGCGGCAUUUUUUUUUUUAUUUUGGGUCUUUGUUUGUAUGCGUGAAUAUAUUAUCUCUCUCUCUAUAUAUAUAAAUAAAUAUAUAUAUAAGUUUUGCAAUGGGAUAACUUUCAAUUAAAAAAAUCAUUACUGAAAGCAAAUGCUAAAUUGUCGCAACAUUCUAAUGGUUUCUGAUAUACCCAUAUAAUGUAUACAAUAGAGUACACAAAAUAUUCGAUGGAUUGAGUCACUGCUAUGAAUUUUUGAGUACCUCAAAGCAUGGUUAUUAAACCUGAGCUUUUGCAUUCAAUUGCACAAGAUAAUGAAAGUGUGUAUACGUCUAGCAUUUCACAGAGCUGUGCACAAUUAACAGAUGAACUCGGAGACAUUUGCUGCAAGAGCACCGAUGCUCUUGACUUGAAUGACGGCACAGCAAACGAUAUCAGCGACGAGGAAUCAAAGCACAGAUCCGGAGAUUCCUGCAAUGGCUUUCUACGCAACAAAGAAAGGCUCCGUGAUAUCGACGCUAUUGAAGAGAUGGCGCAAAAAGAGAUUAAUUUAAUUCAAAACUGUUCUUGUCCUACACAGAAUGGUGUCGUGGAUUUGAUAAUAGCUGACGAACGUGAGUCUCCGAGUAGAAGAGACAGUAUGCCGAAGACGAAGACUGUUUUGAAAGAUCAAACUUCUGAACUCGGUGACGGAACAAGGCUCGACAACAACCGUGGAGGCGGUGGGAAUACCAAGGCACAGAAAGUGAGCAGCGGUUUGGAUGACAGUAAUGUGACGGACUCGGAGACUGUUCGAUGCGAGCAAAUGGAUAGGACCAGUCCGAAAGAUGUGAAGAGAAAAGGUUUUCAUCAGGAGCAUAGUUGUCACGUUGAUUCCAAUUCGAGGAAGAAUGAAUGUGAGGAUAGACACUUCAGUAGAAUAAAUAAUGCUGCUGCUACCACUACUACCAGUAGCAGGUACGUGAGAGGAAGAGUUGAGGGAUUUAGAGGCAGAGAGAAAAGAUUCAAUGAUCGCUGUAUUUCAUCCCGUUAUCCGAGAAGCGAAUCGCAAGUAUUUGUUAGGAAUGAUCACCACUCCCAUAUAUUUCCGAAGAGGGCGAAGUUUGCUGAAGAUGGACACAACUUCGUGCAUCGAAGACACGGUAUUGACGCGAGAGAUGCAAGGAAGCGGGACCGGUAUGGAUACGGCGCGAAGAGACGCUCCUAUGGAGGGAAAAGCAGAGACGACCAUGAGAGCACAUCGCAGCGAUCUUCUCCCAGUGCGCAUAGGGAGAAACCGCAUGGUCCACGUAAACGGCUGAAGAAGUCGUCGUCGCCACCGUCUCACGAGGACGGGAAAAAACUUCAUCGAAACAUCGACGGCAGCGAUUUGGAGAAUUCUCCCACUCAGGGUCAUUGCGAUGGCCGCUUCAAUCGUCGGUUCGGCGGAUCAAGUGGCUUGGGAGGGUAUUCUCCUCGUCGGCGGAGGUCAGAAGCUGCUGUGAAGACGCCGUCUCCACCGCCUCGGUCGCCGAUCCGUCUCAAAACUAGGGCGUGGGACAUGGUGCCCGCGGGGAUUGAUAGCAAAGUGGUGGCGGCCCUGGCUGCAGCACACACAGCGCAGCAACAACAGCAGCAGCAGGUGUCAAUGGCUCCGCUGGUGCCGAUGAGCGUCAUGACCGCGCCUCACAAACUAAACGCUGCGGCUGCUGUGGCUGCAGCAGCAGCAGCGGCGUCGCAGUCGCAUCUGUCGGCGAUGCUGCCCUCGCUUCUGCUGCAGCAGCAACAGCAGGUGCAGCAGCAGGUGAACGGCGUCAGCGGCAGCGGCGGCGGCAGCGGUGGAGGGGGGCUGUCGACGGUGACGCUGACGCAAGCGACGCGGUCGAUACGGCGGCUGUACGUGGGGAAUGUGCCGUCGACGGUGUCAGACGGCGAGCUGAUGGAGUUCAUGAACGCGGCCAUGCUGUCCGCCAACGCCCACCACAUCCCCGGCACCAAGCCCUGCAUCAACUGCAUCGUACGGGGCUCCCCUUCCCCCUUUUGAAUUCCAUCGUUCAUUCCCUUUCUUAUUGUUUCGAUAAAACCAGGGUUUUAGACCCUCAUUUUAUACGUUAUUUUCAGUGAUAUUUAAUUACUUAUUGUACAAGGGAUUUUAAAAUUUGUGUCCAAAUUUUUAUUUUAUUUUGCAUUUUGCAUUUCAUAGGUGAAUAUAGAGAAGGCAUAUGCAUUUGCAGAGUUCAUAACCCCGGAGGAUGCCACAACUGCUCUUGGUUUUGAUGGCGUUACCCUCCAUGGCACCAUUCUAAAAAUCCGUCGCCCUAAAGAUUUCAUUGCACCUGAGGUAUCACAAUCAAUUACUUGCAUGGCUUUCUUUUUGGUUUACUAAUCAACUUGUUCAUGAAAAUAUCAUGAUAUUUACAAAUAUAUGGUUAUAUAUAUAUAUAUAUAUAUAGGAGAAUAAAACAUUAAAAUAAAUUUAUGUGUUAAUUUAUAAGCAUCAACUUAGAUGACAACCUGUUUACACCCAUUUUAAAAUGCAACUUUUUUAUUUUUAUUUUUAUUUUUGUAGCAUGGAGGUUGUCCUAUUGCACAACCAGUCAUCAAUCUAGUAGGAGAUGUUGUCUUAGACUCUCCUCACAAGGUAACUAACUCAUUAAUAUUUUAUUUCUAUUUAUUCCUUCCUUUUGAGAAAUAAAUCUGCAUACGUGUUACAUUAUUUGUAGCUAAAGAAACUACUUUAAAAUAACAACAAUAGGAUUUAGCAUUCCAUAUAAAUGGUUAUGUGUUUCAAAAGUUCAAUUUCCAAAAUCUGAAAUUCAUUCAAAUUUGCAGGUAUUUGUAGGCGGAAUAUCUUCUUUAUUAACACCAGAUAAGGUUAGUAAACCUAUAUCACAAUUUUAUUUCCACCAAGCAAUAGAAAGAUUUUUUUUUUUUUUUUUUUUUUUUUUUUUUUGCAUAUAUAUAUUCACACACACAUUACGAGAUUAUUUCAUUACUACAUUCUAUAACACAAACAUACAUAAUAGAUACUGUAUUCAAAGGCUUUUCAAACAAAAUAUUAAUAUCAAUAUUAAAAUAUGAAACUUGUGUUCCUAAAUACAUGAUUGAAACUCACAUACUUCAUUCAUAUCUACACCAGGUUAAAGAAAUCAUCACAGCCUUUGGGCAAUUAAAGUCCUUUCAUUGGAAGACCAUGCAUCACAACAAUGGUGGUUGCUCUAUAGCCUUUUUUGAGGUAAUUUUUAUAUUUUGGGUUAUUAUUAGUUUCAAAAUAGGGCAUUUGAUAAUGAUUAUAAGUUAUGACAAGAUCUUAGGAUGGUCAUAACUUAUAAUCAUUCAUCUUCUUUGAAUUUCAUUUUUUUACAAUAAAAUGUCAUCUAUGAGUUUACUUUAAUAAAAAUACACACUUUAAAUAUAUAUAUAUAUAUAUAUAUAUUUAAAAGAGAAUAGGCAAUUACAAUAUAAUAGGAAUUACAUUAAUGUAUGAUAUUUUGCAAUGGGGAUGUAGUAUUUAGAUCCAACAGUGACACAUCAAGCUUGCAAAGGUUUGAAUGGGAUGAACUUAGGAGGACAAGUUUUAACUGUCCUUCAGGCCACACCAGAUGCUAAAUAUGAGGUUUACACAUUCUAAUUCUCUCUCUCUCUCUCUCUCUUUAUAUAUAUAUAUAUUGAAACAUUAAAUACUACCUCAAGAAUUUCGAAUUAAUCCUUUAGAAUUAUCAAGUCAAAUUUUUAUUAAAAUUUUCUACCUCUUCAUAAGCAUCUUUUUGUUUCAUAACACUAAUUUGAUCUGAUUUGAUUGAUUGUUUGAUUGAUUUAUUUGUUAUUUGGUAUAAUUUGUUGUUAGUUGUAAAACAAUUUGUAACAAUGAUUAAUUGUUGUAAUCUUGCACAUGAUUUCAGGUGUUUUCUAAAAAUCCACCAUUUUAUGAUAUUCCAGAAGAAGCACUUCCUUUAUUAGAAACACCCACAAAUGUUUUGGAAAUUCACAAUUUGGUAGGUAUAUAUUGAGUUUAAUAUGAAUUCCAAUAUUAACUUUAUCACUUAAUUACAAAAUGGUGCAUAAAUGGUCAGGUUCUCUUCUUUUCUUUUUUCUUCAUAUAUAUAUAUAUAUAUAUAUAUAUAUACUUUCAUUCAUGCACACUAAUAGUUCUCACGUUUAUUUCAUUAAUUCCUUCACUUAUUAAAUCAUAAUCCAUUUUCACCAUUGAUUUAGGUAAGUGAGGAAGAAGUUCUUCAUAUGCAAGAUAAAGAUGUGAGGAAAUUGAUGGAAGAUGUUCGGAUUGAAUGUAAAAGGUAGAGUACUAAGAUAAUUUAAGUUGAUAUAAAAAGGAUAAUUUAAGUAUAGAAAGGAAUAUAGCAUUUAUAAAUUUUAAUUAAAAAAAUUCAAUAUUCUUUUAAUAGAGCAUUAUUAGAGUAAACUAUGGAAAAAAAAAUCCAAAAUACUUAGGCAAUUUGUACAUUUUUUUAUGUGCAUCAUUAUUUAUUUUUAUUUUGGUGGUAGGUUAACACAUAGUUGUAUGAUGCAGAUUUGGUAACAUCAGAUCGAUACAAAUUGUGAAACCCUCAAUUCCACAAGUAGAUCUUUCUACAAAGAUAUUUUGAUCUUAAUGCACAACACACCUUAAAACAUACAUAUUAAAAUUCCUGUUCAAAUAUUUAUUAGUAAUAAAUUUUCUCUUAAAGCCAAUAUUUAGAAUUAUUAAAAUGCUAAUUAUUUUAUUUUUAAGGAUAAACAUUUUUAAAACCAAUAAUGAAAUUUAGUUUUUAUUUUUUAUCUUUUAUCUUUUUUGAAUGUAGGUAUGCAAAACCAUAGAUCAGAAAGAAGAGAAAAUUCUAAUGGGUACAAAUGGAGAGCCUUCAAAUAAUGAAGAAGAAUCCAAUAUUCCCACCAUAGCAAUUACAAAUGAAACUUGUGAGUUGAAGGAUAUGGAGAGAAUCCCACAAUCCAUUGCCAACAAUUGUGGGAAUGAUGUUGAGGAUUCUACUAAUAAAGAAAUAAACAACAUGGAAGAAAUAAAACUGGAAGAUGGAUGCAAAGAUGUGGAUUGCAAUACCAAAGAAGAAAUUGAAAAACAACCCCUGCUUCAAAUCUCUACUUCAAUUUCAUCAAGCUUAAAUCCCAACAAUUUACUUGGUAAAUCCAAAAACCCACUCAAUUAUUUACACUUAAAAUCAAUAGUAAUACUCAUGGGAAAGUGUGUAUGUAAGACACACAAAUUUUUAUUUUUUAUUUUUCUGUUUUACUUGAUAAAAAACAUUAUAUGUAUUUCUCGCAAUGAUUGUUGGAUUUAUAGUUUUCACAUGACAUAAAACAAUACACCACAUGGAUUUUCAUUUAAGUAUGUAUUUCUUUUGUAUUUUUAAAAAUAGAGUAGUAAAAACUCACAAUAAACUUUAUAUCACAUUACAACUAUAAAACAUCUAUCAAUUAUUCCAUAAAGCGAAACAAUUAAAUCAAUAUAAAGAAAUAAAAGUGAUGUGCUACUCAGGAAGCAAUACAUGCAAAAUGAGCAGAAUGGAGCCCUUGAAAGCAGGGAACAUUUAUGUAGAAUAUUCCCGAGAUGAGUCGGCAUGCCACGCGGCUCAUGCCCUUCAUGGCCGGGGGUAUGGGAAUGCAAAAGUAAGUGUGGCAUUUGUGUCUCCGAGGUUCUAUUUGAAGCACUUUGGGCGAGAAAGUGCAGCGGUAUAAUACAAUGACAUUCUAACAAAAUUUGAGUGAGUUUUUUUUUGUUUAUUUGUUUGUUUGUUUGUUGUAACAUUGUAAAUGUUCCAUGUAAUUAUACAAAAAAAAUUCCAACAUGUUAUGGAUAUUUAUUUUUUCAUAUUAUUUUUAAAUCUUUAAGGAAUAUAAUUGAUCUUUGUUAUGUCUUCAGAGUUUUGGAGAAUGCAUACAGAUUUUUUUGAGGAUGAUUAUUUAUUUAUUUAUUUAUUUUUCUGAAGUAUAGAAUGUCAGAUGUUAAUAUUGAUGACGAAUAGAAAUAAAGAAUGUAUAGAACUCUUUUUUACUCUAUUUAUACUAGGGUGGAAGGGUGUUUCUAUGUGAUAAACCUCUACAUUUGAAUGAAUUGUGACUUAUCUAGAUUUUUUUGUUUUUCUCAUAUUUAGAUACGUGAAAAACAUAAUUUAAGUGAAAAGAUAAUUAAGAGUUUCUUUUAUGAAAAAAUAUUGUAAUAAUAUAAAUUUUAUAUUAAAUAGUAAUAUAUAUUUUUUAAUUUCUCAUAAAUCAAAUGUUAAUUAAGUUCUUCUAUAGUUUUCAUUGUCUUAUAUAUAUAAACUUUAAAUUAAAAAAAAUCAUGUUGUGAAAUUUACUAACAUAUGUGUGUGCGUAUAUAUAUAUUUGAGAACCGUUAGAAUCAAGAAUGAGCUAAACUCAUAGGCACAAAUAAAGUGAAAUCAUAGAAUUGAAGAUGGACACAAGUGACAAACAAAGGGAGUGAGUCCUUGGAUACACUGAUAUAUGUGAGUGUGUGUGUGUAUGUAUAUAUAUAUAAGCAUGUAAGUGCAAGAAAACUAAAAUCAAUGUAGAGAAACAUGCAAUAAAUGGAAAUUUAACAAAAGUAUAUAUAUAUAUAAUGAGGAGAUCAAAACAAAAUGUCCAAAAAUCACAUUAUCAUAAAUAGGUCUUAGUAUAUCAUUCAUAAAUAAUUUUCGUAUUUAAAAACGUUCAAAUCCAAAAGAUUAAUGAUCUAAAGAUGAAAAAGUUGUCAAUAUUAUAAUUUUAAGAUUUUAGCUAGUAGUGAGCCUGAGUUAUGUUAUUACCAUUUAUGUAUUUUUUUUUUUCAUUUUGUUUUUCGAGUUUUUUACUUGAUCAAUUGAUCAUUGCUAUUCAUUUACUUGACAAUUAAAAUGAUAUUUUUUUAAAGGUGUGUAAAUUGCAUUCUAAUUAACAAAUUUACAUGGGAUUUCAAACAUUGUAGUUUAGAUGAUGCUAAACUACAACUUGAUGGUGCAUCAUAUUUACUAUUGAGUGAAAUCUGUGCAUUUAAUCCACCUUUCAAUAUGCUUGCUAUAAACGUAAAAGUAACUAAUUUUCAAAUGAGUGAUGGAAUUACAUACUAUCAUACACAUUUUUAGAUGAAUUUUAUAAAUUGAAAUAGAUGAAAAUAAGUAAAUAAAUAAAAAAUAAUAAUUUAUUUAAUAAUGUCACAAAUUUUUGAAUAGAAUAUUUGAACUUAUUGUUAUGUUUAUUGUUUCAGUUUUUAUAAUUAAUGGUGACUAUUAAAAAUUAAAAUUAAACUUUUAUUUUUUUAUAUUAUUGCAUCAAAGUACUAGAACACAAAUUGAUAAAAAUAAUAGAGUUAUCAUAAUAUUAGUCAUACGCUUUUUGGAAAUAUAUUAACACAUAUGACCUUACAAGAGUUUAUUAUAUGUUGAUUAAUUUACACUCAAAUUAUUGAGGUACAUUCAAUUCUAAUAAAAAUAACAUUUCAAUAAGAAAUGACUUUUAGUAGGAUACUAUACACAUGUAAUUUUUUAAACAUACAAUUAACAUAUUUUCUAUUUGAAAUAUGUUUUAACAAGAAAUAUACAUAAAGCACCAUUUAAAAACAACUGGUUGAUUAUUUUCAUUAUUUUUAUUAUUCUUUUGUUCGUUUCCAUUCAAUUAUUCUAUUUGUAGCUAUGUCAUAAAAAAAUUGUUGCAUCUAUGAACGAAUUUUCUUAAGGUAAUUACUAAUAAAAGGAUUGAAAAGAUUGAAAUAAAACAUGGUAAGGUCAAUGCAACCUUCACUCAAUUACUUUCCAAACACUACAAUUCUCGUUUUUCUUUCAUUGGGACUAAAAAGUAAUCCAGAAGAUCCCUCAAACUAUUAGCAUAUUGACAUGAAUAGGAGCAGAUUCCUCACCAGCUCAUGAGUUCGCUGUCAUAUUUUAUGUAACUUGGAUUCACUUUGACUCCCAUUAUUGACCUACCUUUGGCCGGGGAAACUAUUUGUGCACAAACAAACAUGUAAAUGAACAUCCAAUCCCUCCAUACGAAGUUAAGCAGUCUCUGCUGCUUAGAGUAGCUCUAACCAACCUUUUGGACUUGUAUAGGGAUCAAAAAAUAUCCUCUCGAAUCACAGCUUAGCUAGUACCCAAGUUACUUUUUUGCUGAAUUUAAGUUAUUUUCUUCACCACAGUAAGAAUCCAUUCCCACUAUUGAAUUGUAGGAUAAUAUGUCAUUUGAAUACAAAGACACAAACCAUUUAAUCUGUGAUUUGAGAUUUACAAUUCUAGUAAUGUUUGUUUUUAUUUUUAUUUUUAAAAACAAUUAAAAGAAAGAUGCAUCGGGAACUGGAGUGGCAUGGGAUUGAAGACAAUUUCUGUGUACAGGGCACGUGACACAAGUAACAGUCGAGCAACAGUGUCUGAAACUUACAGUGAGUUUUGUACGACUUAAGUUGAUUCCGUCAGGCUGAGCAGAUCACUGCACUUGCUUCAAGCGAAUCGUACCCACCUCGGUUCCAUUUCUACAAGAGUUUUUAAAAAACAUGUUCCGUAACCGUAGUUAACUCCUGGGGUCUCGUCAAGAGAUCAAAGCGAUGCACAUCUUAAUCAAGAACUGCGAUCGAUGAACUAGAUGUCUUCAAGGGUUGCCUAAUGUUUCUUAGCAACUCGCACAGAAGCAUCAAGAGAGUCGGGAAAAAGAUGCAGGGAUGCCCGUUGCUUCGGAAGGGAACUUCCUGAAUCUGACAAGUUCUAAUGAACACGUCUUUGGGAGUUUAUCUUCCUCAGCGAAUCGGGAUUGUACGAGAUUCCGCAACUCCAGCAGGUGUUUUAUUUUAUUGGCUGCAGGGUGAUUACGUUCUCCAAAAAUAUUGAACCCAUACAACACAAGUGAAAUCCUAUUUAGAGAGGAUCGUACUAAGAUCCGAAAAAUGAUCUUUACACAAAAGAAAAAAAGACAAAAAGCAAAAAAAGCAAAAAAGCAAAAACACACAAACAAACAAACAAACAAACAAAACAAAACAAAACCAAAUUGAAAACCUCAAACAUGAAAGACACGCAAACCUACCUUGCUCGCUUGUUCACAAACGAAUCCUGGUAAUAUGCUCCAACACCAAUGGAUUCAGCUCCAACCCUGCCAGUGCGCAACUCCGUUUGUAAUCUCUACACCGGCAGCUAUCAUCGAAUAGACAACCAAGAAAAUAUCGAAGUCAAUGGGGGCAGUUCCAUUGCAGAGAUGGCAGUCUCGCUCAGAGAUCAUCAGACUGGAAGUGAUCCCGUCAUUCAGGAAUAAGAGCCAUGGCUAAAUUGGCGACUAUAGGACCGGACCAAAAUCAGGACUACAAAUCCUGCGGUGUACAAAAACUUCCAGCAAAGCUAGCCGCUUUUCGAGGUGAGCCUUUCUUGCAGCUCCAGGUCUAAAUAUCUGAAGCUUUCACUCGCAAAGCAACAAUUGCUGAAACUCUGUAACAUGUCAAAGAGAAGGCAACAAAAUGUGAGGAGCACUGAGCAUUGAUCACAAGUAGGCCAAUCCAGAGUGUUGUCGGCGUGACUAAAGAGAAUUGAGACAUACAGUAAAACCUACAUGCCAAGGCCUGCAAAAAACUUUUGAUCAGUGCAGAGAUAUCAAUUACUGAAUAUUGGUAAAAAAACAUCCUAAUUUAUGUAGAUGCGUUCGAGAAAGAGCGACACAAAUGUGCCGAGCAUUACCCAAUUAUGAAUGCUUUGUAAGAACGCAUUUCACUAUACAUGUCGAAAGGAUCUUCACAAAGCAUAUAUUCUAUAAUGUUGCAGUGGUACUCUCAAGUGAAGCGAGAAGGUAAGUUCACGAACUUCGUGCCUGUUUGGCUUCUCCAAUGAUUGGAACUGGUGACCGCAAACAUUGCCGUGAGUUUCGAAGAUUGGUAAGGCUGUGAUUAAUACUUGGAUGAUUCGCUGCACAUGAAUCCUCUGCAAUUCAAACUUUCAAAAUUCAAAAUGCAAUUAAUAAAACCGCUUCAGAGAGAGAGAGAGAGAGAGAGAGAGAGAGAGAUGUUCAACCAAUUGAGAACGGUACAGAAUGAGGAGGAAAAUCUCGCGGAUGCAAAGAGGGUGGGGGGAUGAACCAUUGAUGAUCAGAUUCAUCAGGAUACUUUCACUCAGAGUGAAGCAUGCAGUGGCUUUCAAUUCAUCUACAAAAGUAGAUUUCUGGCCAAUGCGACGGUAUUUCAAAGUAUGAUAAUGAAUCUAGUGUCAACCUUCUGUAGCAUCCUUGCGGCGCCUACGAACUUCCCAUCUGCUUCCAGAUGAGACGCUCAAAGCGCCUAACAGAGAAUUUUGACCUUUACUUCAGUGAUCAGUCUCAGACCUCCAGUGUAACAAUACACAAAUGGAGCUGUGAGCUCAAAACGUCCUAUUGAGAGCCGGCGCGAAAUGAUACAAAUAAUGGAGUAGUAUGGUCGUUUAGUACCACCUAUGGCAUGUUCACGUUAAUCUGAUGAGAACUUCUAACGCAUAGGAUGCAUGUAAUUGUUUUCCUCUUCCUUAUCUUGAAGUACAUUCUGCCAGUGUUGGAACUGCGUCAACGUUACACGCAAGCGUACCCAAGCCAUGCAUGGCCUUGUAGCAAUAUACGACCACACUCACAACCCGUCAUCAUCGAAGUUCGUCUGAAACGACAUCAUACGGCAUAUUGUGCAAUCUGAGCUGGAUAGCUUAUCAGGAUUGUUGACUGCUGGAGCUUCCACACCUGCGUCAAGGACUGUUUUCACAGCCUGGUACAGUUAUACUUCUCAUUCACGAGGCCGGGCAGACCAAAGGGAACUCAAUGCGCGAAGACGAGCAAAGUAGUCCCCCAUAGCGAGAAGCCCCCGGGCUGCUUGGCGCGUGGUUAACACCCGGUGCAUUUGCUGUAAUGUUUGUUGACGUAUUUUAUCGGCCUGUCAAAACCAUCAAAACAAUCGUUAACUGACCUGAAAAAAAAGGCUAAUAGCGUACUGUACUGCAUUACUGAGAACAACCCACAUAAUGCUAGAUGAUACAAGCAACAUGCCUCGAGACUUCCAACCAAAAUGCCGCAUAAAAAACCAUACAACACCCAGCUAUGCAAAAUCAAUAUAAAUAUAUACCUGACACAUGAAAGCUUCAAGUGUGCCAAGUUUCCCCAUGGCCAUGGCCAUCUGUCCCAUAUAAAUAGCUACAUUUGCUGAUGAGCCAAGAGAACCAACAGAGAGAGCGUCGGCAAGUGAUUGCUGAAGUACUUCCAUCCCCUGAGAAAGAGCAUCUUCAACUUGUUGAGAAGCUUUCUGCAAGUUGCAGAUGUUUGACGCUUGUUGAUCUGUCAAAGGUUCUAUCUGUGGUAGUAAUAUCUGCAUCAGUAAAAACAAAAGACAGCAUUAGUCAGCAUGGCCUUGAGAUGCAAUCAAUUAUUAACAGUAAUUUCUCCUUUCACGAUGAGAGAUGUGAUCAGCAUGUGAGAAAUUGUCAAUACCGGCUUUCAAAUGACAAUGCGGCACAACAAAUUGGUAGAUAAAGCACCUUCAGUAGCCCAGAGGGGCGAAAUCCACCCAUCCACAUAAAGCACCGCUCUGCAGGAGACUUCCAAAUGCCGGAUACAAGAUGGAAAACAUCAGCUUUAGAAACAACGGCCUUGAGUCGAAAAAGGUCAUCAUAAUGUGCCAAUCCCGCAUCCACAAGUACCCGCAGUUCAGAGUCGGCGACAUGACCCUGUAAAGCAGCACGGAGCUUACUGGUCUGCCGGUGAUGCUCUUCAACCCAUUUUGCGUACUCCAUGUCAAAGGCUGCGGCUACUGUUUAGAUUCAACACACCUUGCUAAAUCAGAAACCAAGUCGGCAUCCUUAAGCAAAGGUCGAACGAUAACUGAAUUGGGCGAAGGUAUCAAGUGGAUUGGCUGAUAACAGUCUGGUUCGUAAGCUGUCUACAUGAAUACUUCAAUGGCAUUUCUUUUGAAUAAAACGUUAAACAAAAAUAACAUAAAAUAAAAUCUUUCUGGUGUUUCUGAGGGGUUAAUUCGUUUGCAAAGCAUUAGGUAUAACCUGGGCACAAAAGUAUCAAGAUUCAGCUCACUUAUUCAUCAUCAACAUCGUUGCCCAUACCACGCACAGACGAUCUUCGACAUACCUGAACUACUGUUAGUCCCCCAAGUGCCUCCAGCUGAAUGACCAUUUUGGUCAACGCUGCACGAGCCAGGUCCGAGAUAUAAUCCCUGCUAAGAAAAUCACAAACAUGCAUCACUCAGGUUCCAGUCGUAUGAAAGAUCAAAGAAAUUGCUGCAAUGUUGAAUGUCAACACAACUUCUGCACACACAAUAAGAACCGCCCAAUGAAUAACAUUGUAAAUGAUGGCAGUCACAUCCUAGUAUAAGGUGAGUGAGACAAAACAGGAAACAGACGCCACAUAAAGCUUGGGGGCUCAACAAAUGUGGUCAAGUGACAGGGUUAGACUUGUAGCAUAAAUCAAGUGCUCGAGACGGUAAACUAAAGCUUGCUCGAGCGUUGGAGAGGAAUUCUUUGACUAUUUGGACAUUAAAAUGGAUGAUAGAAAAGAACCAAUCGAAUGCAUUACCGAAAAAAGGUAUUUAUAGAAGCGAGGAUAUGCUAGAAAGAUAAACAAAAGUUGAAAGCUGUAGCCGCAGGUUUCGAACUAAGAAUGUAGAAAUAGCUAAGGAUAUUCUCGCCACACCAAUGUCACCAGCAAUCAAAGCUACUCACUAUCUAUCUUUCCUUGAACAAGAGAUUGAUAUAUUUGAUCAGUGAGACAAAUACUGCUCGUAAAAAAUUCUUUUGAAAAAAACAAUGAGUAAAUAUCGAAUAUUCACCCUCAUAUACAGAUACAAAUGGAUUAGCACAUGGAUAAAAUGUAGGGAUGAACCUGUUGCCGAGUUCUUUGAAGCUCUUGCUCAAGCUCGUUCAAUUUGAUACGACUGGACUCUAACUGCUGCACAUAGGCCUGUAACAUAAAACCACCAUUAAUCUCUUACAUUGCACUCCCACGAUGUAAUGCAAGUGUCUGUGAAAAUUAGUUUCAGUAACCAGGAAUACAAAUAUCGAUCAAUCAGAUCGAUCACCUUUUUCCUAAGCCUGCUUUUUCGGGCUGCUUCACGAUUUUGUGCCAGACGUCUGAGAACCUAUACCACACGAAGGGUCCAACAUGAGCAGCUGAACUUUGGAGAAUCAUUUCGCCAUACUUAAGAAACAGAACAUUUGACAGAAUCCGACAAGAUUCACAGUAUGAGACUAUGGUUCUAAAUUUAUUUUAAUUCUUUUAAUCCGUGAAGAACGAACAAAAUAUUUCCAGAAUAAUCCUUAAGACUGCAGGUCAAACAACUUGAUUGCUAAAAGUGAAAAGGAAAAAAACAUAUAAAAUAUAAAAUAAAUCAAGACCUGCACACGCACCUUGAAGUCACCGUUCUUGGUUCCAGCUUCGUGACUAGAGUCAUUUGAGCCUCCAGUGACUAAAUGAUGACCGUCAUCUAACUGCCAAAAGGUCGUGAACCAGUUAAGACAGUCUCUUAAAAAGCUAUACGACAAGCUCACAGACACUCGCCAUAAGGCCUGGGUUCUCGCACAUAAAAUCAGUGAAAACUGCACAGAGUGUCGGAAAAAAUGUGAAGCGGGCUUAGAAGUGAAUCAGAACAAAACUGCCACUAAAGUCGAAUACCUUAGGGUCACCAUCCAUGUCGGAGGAAGUAUCUGUCUUUGCACUACUGUCUCGCAUUUUGUCAAAUCCGAAAACCUAACCCAAUUACGUGAGGGGGGAACGGGAGUAUCAGAUAGCAUUCCGAAGCGCACCGAAAAGUUUUCCAUGUUUUGAACUCCACCUGCCCUCCAUUCGACCACAUUCCCGACGUAAUCUCCCUAAUUCCAGAAUCCGAAUCCACCUACACUUCUAAGCCCUCGCCCUCGCCCUUGCCCUUGCCAUCACCCCCUCUACAAAGCUAACACGAGCUCAUUUUCCGUCGCACAUCCACACACACAACCCGAGUGCGUUCGUGCGCUGUGGCAUCUAAUUACCACCGCAACGCGACCACACUCUGCCCGCUGACCAUCCUGACACUCCACGGCCCGUUGCCGCUCUUUUCCUCACUCUCCACCAGAGUCAUGGUAGUUUCACACAGCCCUCGUGCACAACUACGGCACAGCAAAAGAGGAGAGUAUGUGUAUCGAGGAGUAAAUAACAAGGGGCCACGCACUGUUCCAAACUCGUCCCCAUCUCGUCCAAAUUUAGGAAAUGGAACGUCAGGGCUGUGGUGUGGCAAAUCUGGUGAAUGGCAGGGAGUUUCACAUAUUUGCACACGAAGGCCACAGCACGUCAAGGCCGUCGACGAAGUAAUCGUCAUCACUUAAGUGAGUGAAUGUAGGGAGGAAAAAGCAGAAUCGCAAGGCACGCUAAGUGUCAAAGUCCCAAUCGCCAAGGCACGUCCUAAAAUAAGGAUAGCUGCGAAGCCCCCAUCCGGCGUCAUGCCCUCGUCACUCCAGUCUCUCUCUGUGUAAGACCGACGGAAGGAAAAAGGAUAAGGAAAGGAAAGGAGAAGAGGAAAUGAAAGGGGAAGGUCGUCGGCGUCUUCAUCAUCAUCACCAUCAUCGUGGUGGAGGCAGUGGUGGUGGCUCUUUACGGCUUCAGCAAAGAAACACCAACCAAAACCCCCCCCCCUCGCAUUCUCGCUCCCUCCCUCCCAUAAUAACAAUUAUAAUAAUUAAUAAUAGUUUUGCUGCUUAAUAUUGCCAGUGUCAUCCAUCGCCCUCUUCUUCUUCUUCUUCACUCCGCCCUCCUCCUCUCUCUCUCUCUUUCUCUCUUUCUCUUUAUCUUUCCCUGCCCCCCUUCCAUUUGUUGUCUCUCUCUGUUGUCUCUUUCUACCAUUUCUUUCUUUUCUUUUCCCACCCUGUCCUGCGUCAGGUCUACUUUUUAUCUUUUUUUUUUCUUUGAUGGCUCCUUCUCCUCCUCCUCCUGCAGAUCUGCCACGUUGGUGCUGAGGUCAAAUAGGAGGAAGGGCUCAGAUCGUGGUGAUGUCAUGGGAGCGACGUCAUCGCCCUCAGUCAGCAUCUUGCCCCUGCAGCACGGUCCCCUCUGUACCUAACUCUGGUUAGGGGGGAGAGGGGGCGUGGCGUGGCGGGAACGGGUGAGCAUUGCCAUUACCCACUCCGUUGACGAGGGGGGCGCUUUGACAAUGCGGAUGAAUGGAUGAAUGCGGUGUUGGUUAGAUAUUAGCCUGCCUGGGAUCAUCAUCAUCAUAUUUCUAUUAUUAGAAUACGGAUACUCUACAACUAUUAUCAAACUUAAGAAAGUAAAUUAAGAUUCUUUUUAUAUAUAUAGAUACUGGAAAUAGUUUUUUUUUUUUAAUUCUACCAAUGUUUCUUAAUCUCUUUUUUCAGUUUUCUGGAUGAAUGUGGAAAUCAUUCUUCCUUUUCCAAUGCUGAAGAUGGUGAUGUGAUGCACAAUACUCCAUCUAUACGUGUAUUUGUUGAUGUGUGUUAUAAAAAAGAUUGAUAGAACCAUCUCUUCUAGAUUGAGACUAUGAUAAAUUUAUGAAUGCAUUCCCACAAAGAUUAGUUGGUCUCAUACAAAAUAAUACAUGAAAUGUAAAUGAUUAAAAAAUUUAAAAAAUCAAUGAUGACACAAAAUAUUGAAAAUAUAAUAAUAAUAAUAAUAAUAAUAAUAUAAAAUAAAUAUAUUAUAUUAUAAUAAAAUAAUUAAUUAUCUAUUUAUCCUUAAUUGGAUAAUAUUUGGUAUAAGUUAGUAUGGUGGAUAAUAUUUUUAUGUUGGUCAUGCUUAAUAUUAUCCACAAUAAUUUAGUUUUAUUAUUCUACUUAAAUUUGUAUUUAUAAGUCAAAAGUGCAAGCAAAGUUACAAUUUAAGAUUUUUUUUUAAUACAUAUCUAAUAGUGAUUGACAAAUUUUAAAAAAUAAUAAACAUAUCUUGUAAUUUUUAGAAUAUUUUAAUCCAAAAUAAUUCAAUUUUUUAAAAAAUAUAUCAUAAGACCAUCAAUUGAAAUUAUAUAUUUUAAAAAAUCAACUUGAGCUAUGAUAAAUAUAUACUUCUUAAUUUUGGCAUAUAAUCAUAUAUCUAAGUUUUUAUAAUAUAUAAUAAUUAUAAAAUCUAUAUUUUUAUAUGUUAUUAGAAUAGAUCAAAAUAUAUUUUAGAUAAUAAAUAACAAAAUCAUUUAAAAAAUAUCAAAAAAUAUUAUUCAUUUUAUUUUAAAAAGAAAUUGGCACAUUUGUAUAUUCAAAAGGUAUGACAUUAUAUUCAAAAUGCCCAUAAUUAGUUUGAAAUGCAAUCUUCUAUUGAUUUUUUUUAUUUUUAUAUAUAUUAAAUUAUAUAUUUUUAUGUCUUAUGGCAAUAGCCAUUCUAAUUUCUUUUUAUUAUUCAUAUUUUCUUGUUUUUAUAUUAUAAUUUAUUUUUUUUAAAUCUCACUUAUUUAUUUAUCUUCAUCAAGUUUCUAUCUUUGAUAAAUUCAUAAGGAUAUACUUACAAUAUCUUAGUUUUGUCUCUUUUUGAUUAAAAGAGGAUUAUGUCUUUUUUUUUAUAUGAUAUAAAUUUAUUAAAACUUAUAAAUUAUGGACUUCUAAACUAAUAUUAUUUUUAAAAUUUCUUUUGUCUUCUAAUCUUCUCUUCUAUUUAUUUUAAGACAUAUUAGACAUCUUCUUUCUUAUUAUGUAUAUUGAUGAAGCUUAGUGAAAUAAAUAAUACAAUGGCAUAAAUGUAAGAGCAAUUGAGAGAGUUAAUGCUUGUUAUGCAUCAACUCAAUUUACCACCACAAAGAGCAAUAAGAUUGGUAGAUACUGUCACGGACAUACAUAUAAUUACCUAUAUGAAUAGAUAAAAGUAUGUAAAAGUAGGUUAAUUGUGUAAUAUCUUCUAGAGAAGCUUCUUAGAAGCUUCAUAGACGCUGCUUUGACUUUAUAGGAGUCUAUAGUUGACUUUUAGGUUAGAAACUUGGUCAACAAGUUAGCCAUGUGCCACGCAUGUUGGAAGCUUAAAGAACAAGCUAACUACGUGGUCUAUCCAUAGAAAACUUGCCUUGCAAGCAAAGGCAUGUGGCCUAGAAAGUCAACAUAUAUUGGAGGUCUUAUAGAACAUCGCCACGUGGCUUCUAGUUAGAUAGUAUAUAUAGAGGCAAGAGUGAAGCCCUCUUCACUCUUGUCAACUCCUUUCUUGCUUCUAGUCUAGUUUCAAGGGUCUCUAGUUUUCUUGUAUUUUGGCAAUAGCCAUUCCAGUUUCUUUCUUAAUAUACAUAUUUCUAUUUUGUCCUAUUUCUUUUUGAGAAAAGUCUCACUUACUCUUUAGCUUUCAUCGAGUUCUUGUCCCUGACAGAUUGACAAGAGUACACUUACAAUAUCAGAGCUUUGUCUUUUCUUGAUUAAGAGUGGAUUACCCCUUUUUCUUGAUAAGACAUAAGCGCAUUAGAAGUUGCGGAUUACCCUCUUUUAAACUGAUAUUGUUCUUAGUAUUUUCUUUGUUAUCAAUUCCUCUCUUCUAUUUGUUUUGAGCGUUGUUAGACAUCUUCUCUUUUCUAAGUGCUACUAUGGCAGAGCUUGUUGAAAUGAAGAGUGCAAUGGCACAUAUGCAAGAACAAUUGAGGGAGUUAAUGCUUGCGAUGCAUCAACUCAAUUUACCACCACAAGGAGCAACAAGAAUGGUAGGAAGUGAAGAUAUAGAGAUGAUUGGGGCUGCUUCAACAUCUGCACCAAACCAUGUCCCUUCUCCCAGAAUGGAACACCCUUCGAGUGUUAGAGAACCGAGAGUUGCCUUGCCCGAGAAGUUUGAUGGUACCAGAUCCAAGUUUCGAGGAUUCAUCAAUCAGGUCCAACUAGUGAUUGAACUUCAACCCCAGAGCUAUCCAACUCCAGGGUCACAAGUAAGAUUCAUUGGUACACUUCUUUCAGGUUCAGCAUUGUCAUGGUUUUCAUCUUUUCUUGAACGACGAGAUCCAAUAUUGGAUAAUCUGGAGGCUUUUUUGGCGGAGUUUCGAUCCAUGUUUGGAGAACAUGAUGCAAUUCGUGUUACAACCAACAAGAUCCGUAUUUUGCGACAAGGCAAUCGAUCAGUAACAUUAUAUGCUUCGCAAUUUCGAUAACUUGUAACUGAUAUCAAGUGGGAUGAUGCCUCACUUGUGAGUCAAUUUCUCUACGGAUUACAAUAUGAGGUAAAGAAAUUGAUGCUUAAUUUACCUGAUCCUCAAACAUUGAGUCAAGCAAUUGACUUUGCUGUGAAGUGCGACAAUCGACUUUUUGAAUUUCGAUCCGAGAGUCGCACAAGUGGGCCUCAACGUUACUACAAUUCAAUGGCAACAUCGACGUCUCCUCAAUACAUACCUUCGGAAGUAGAGGAUAUGCAAAUUGAUGCGGUACGUUUCAAACCUCUUACUGAGCAAGAAAAGUCUCGUCGUCGACAAGAAGGAUUGUGCUUAUAUUGUGGAGAACCUAAGCACACUGCUCAACAUUGUUCAAAGAAGCGACGUAACUACAAAAUGAGGAGUACGGCUGUCAAAGAAGACAGUAUGUUGGAAAACGAGUACGUCCAGCUACAAUAGGGACCGUGCAGCUGGAAUCUUGUACAACUUCUAAUAAAGGUCCUAUCCUCUCCUCAAAACCAUCUCCUUGUUUUAUAAUAGAUGUGCGUUUAGGACCUAAUAAUUACAAAGCCUCUGCCUUGGUAGAUUCAGGAGCCUCAUCUUGUUUUUUAGAUGAAGAAUUUGCUAGAUGUCAUAGAAUAUCAUUAAUACAAAAAACUAAACCUGUACACGUAGAAGUCAUAGAUGGUCGUCCGUUGUCUUCUGGAGAUGUAACUCACGAAACACUUCCUGUAGAUGUAGUAAUAAAUGGUCAUAGUAGUUGCGUAAUUUUUAAUAUAAUUAGAUCUCCCUCUAAUCCAGUAAUUUUAGGCUUAUCAUGGUUAGAAAAGUAUAAUCCUCGAAUAGAUUGGAUUUCUCGUAAACUUGAUUUUCCUCAGAGCAUUAGUAACAGUUCUAUUAACCAAGUAAAAAACCAUGAGUCUAGUAUAGUAAAACUCACACCUAUAGGUGCAAAAGCAUUUAUACAUGCAGCAAAAGAAGGAUCAACUUUUGCUAUUUAUGCUGCACCUAUUUCUGAAAGCGUAAAGACUUCAAGUGGCAUUCCAAGUCAAUAUCAGGAUUAUCAAGACGUUUUUGAGAAAAAGAAUGCAGAUAUUCUUCCUGAGCAUCGCCCAUACGAUUGUUCAAUCGAUCUCAAGGAAGGAACUCAGCCACCAUUUGGACCAAUUUACAGUUUAUCGCAAGAUGAGUUGGCUGAACUCAAGACAUAUAUUGACGAGAAUUUAGCGAAGAAUUUCAUACGCCAUUCAAAAUCUCCAACAGGAGCUCCAAUUUUAUUUGUAAAGAAAAAAGAUGGAUCUUUACGAAUGUGUGUUGACUAUCGAGGACUCAACAAGAUCACAAUCAAGAACAGGUAUCCAUUAUCUUUGAUAUCAGGACUCCUUGACCAGUUAAAUCAAGCUAAGAUCUAUACAAAAAUAGAUCUAAGAGGAGCAUAUAAUCUAGUACGGAUCAAAGAAGGAGAUGAAUGGAAGACUGCGUUUCGAACCAGGUACGGGCAUUUUGAAUAUAAUGUCAUGCCUUUUGGACUCACGAAUGCACCAGCUGCUUUUCAACAUCUCAUGAAUGAUGUAUUUCGUGAAUUCUUAGACAAUUUUGUCGUCUGCUACCUAGACGAUAUCCUGAUUUAUUCUAAGAAUGUUGAAGAACAUGAAAUACAUGUUCGUCAAGUAUUACAAAAACUCAGAGAUGCAGGAUUGUACGCCAAGAUGGAAAAGUGUGUAUUUCACACUACUCAAGUUGACUUUUUAGGAUACAUCAUUUCAAAUGAUGGUCUUAUGAUGGAUUCUAAGAAAGUCCAAACAAUCAUGGAUUGGAAGAUUCCAAAGACUGUGAGAGAUGUCCAAUGUUUCUUGGGAUUUGCCAAUCACUAUCGGAUCUUCAUCAAAGACUUCUCACGAGUUGCAGCUCCACUUACACGCUUGACUAGUAAAGAUAAAUUCCAAUGGAAUCAAGAAGCGGAAGCAGCAUUUGAAGCCUUGAAGACAUCGUUUGUCUCUGCACCAGUCUUAUAUCGUGUUGACUUUUCUAAGGCAUUUUUUAUGGAAACAGACGCAUCGGAUUUUGCCUUGGGUGCAGUUUUAUCACAAAUGGGAACAGAUGACAAACUUCAUCCGAUAGCUUUUCAUUCAAGAAAAUUCUCAGCAGCUGAGAUCAAUUAUGAAAUCCACGAUAAAGAACUUCUUGCAAUCGUGGAUUCUUUUCAAGAAUGGCGUCAUUAUCUAGAAGGUGCUUCUAGUCCAGUCACUGUGUAUACAGAUCACAAGAACCUCGAGUAUUUCAUGUCAGCACGCGUGUUGAAUCGUCGUCAAGCUCGUUGGAGUAUGUCUUUGUCAAGAUUCGACUUCAUUAUCACUUAUCGGCCAGGAAAACAACAAGGUUUGUCCGAUGCCCUGUCUAGACGUUCUUAUUUUGCACCAAAAGAAGGAGAUGCAGCUUUUGAGCAAUAAAGAACGGUCCUCUUGAAACCGGAGCAAUUUCAUCUCCGAGCAGUGAAAUCAACAUUGACUGUUGAUUCAACUUUUCUCAAGCAAAUCCAGUCCAGUAUGUCCUCAGACCCUCUUGUUCAUGAUAUCGAGAAUAAUUCUUCCAAGUCUCAUGAUUCUUCUAAGUUCGAGUUCAAGAAUAAUCUAUUAUAUUUUGAAGGACGCCUAUAUGUUCCAGAAGAAAAAGCACGUUUGCGUGUUCUUCAAGCACGUCAUGACUUUCCAGCAGCAGGGCACUUUGGAUAUAAUAAGACUCUCGAACUCAUAUCAAGAGAUUUUUGGUGGCCACAAAUGUGGAAGUCAGUCAAAGACUUUGUACAAUCAUGUGAUAUUUGUUCAAGAUCAAAAAUUCCUCGACAUCGACCUUACGGACUUCUUCAGCCAUUACCUAUACCAGAACAACCAUGGUCUUCUGUUUCUAUGGAUUUCAUCACAGAUCUUCCAAACUCAAGAUCUUAUGAUUCUAUAUUUGUGAUAGUAGAUCGUUUCACCAAGAUGGUACAUUUUAUGCCAUGUACAAAAUCUAUCACAGGUGAAGAAACAGCUAAGCUUUUCAUUGAUAAUAUCUAUCGCUAUCAUGGAUUACCUAAAGAUAUCAUAUCGGAUAGGGGAACUCAAUUUGUGUCGAGAUUCUGGAGGACUCUUUUCAAGAUUUUAAAAGUGGACAUAAAGCUAUCUUCAGCUUUCCAUCCUCAAACUGAUGGACAAACAGAGCGCGUAAACCAAGUCUUGGAACAGUAUUUAAGGUGUACUAUCAACUACCAACAAGAUGAUUGGACAACCCUUCUGCCAUUGGCAGAGUUUGCUUAUAAUAAUAUGGUACAUUCCUCCACGCAACAAACACCUUUCUUUGCCAAUUAUGGCUAUCAUCCACGACUUGAUACUUUUGAUUUUUCAAAAGUUGAUAAUCCUGCAGCAGAAGAUAUGGCAAAUCGGUUGUCAGAGUUACAUGCAAUAAUGAAGGCGCAGUUGAAGAAAGCUCAAGAACGACAAAAGAUAAAUACAGAUGUAUAUCGUAAAGAGCAACCACAACUCAACGUGGGUGAUAAGGUAUGGCUACUUCGUCGCAAUAUCAAGACCACUCGACCUUGUGACAAAUUUGACUAUCGUAGGCUUGGCCCCUUUUCUGUUUCUGAACAGAUCAACCCAGUUGCAUAUCGGUUAUAUCUAUCGGAGUCAAUGAAGAUCCAUCCUGUAUUCCACGUGUCUCUUCUUGAACCAUAUAAGACAGUGGAUAUACAAGGAAGAAGACAAAUGCCACCGCCUCCUAUAGAAGUAGAUAAUAAUGAAGAAUUUGAGGUGGAAGAGAUAUUAGACUCAAGGCGGCGCCGAAAUAAGCUGGAAUAUCUUGUUCAUUGGUGCGGAUAUGAUAUUAGUGAGCGCACAUGGGAGCCAUCCAGGAAUCUAGCAAAUGCAUCAGCUAAAGUCAAAGUUUUUCAUCAACGACAUCCAUCAAAACCAAGAUGAAAACCUCUCUUAUAAAAGAGACAAGAUUGAGGCAAGAUAACAUUCAAUUUCCUAUCCUUGUUUGUAACUUCUUUGCAUUUUGUGACGCUAAUUAGAUGGAGAGCCAACAACCAGCGGAUUCAACUCAAGAACCUUCGUUUGCUGACUUACCGGAUGAAACAUUGCGAUUGUCACAACCUUCAAGACGACGCAACCGAAAUGAAGACCCUCAAGAACGACAUGUUCUUCCUCGAAUAGAUGGUGAGAUACAACGCGUUUGGUAUCACGACCUUGGAAGAGAUUCUCGAUGUUUGGUGAUAUUAUUGGAGAUAGGAACGACUCCUGAUGGUGUUUCAAAUGUAUUAUUUGAAGGAAGUUAUGAAGGCCUCAACAGUGAUCAAAUAACAGGGUGGUCUUCUCGCCCUGGAAUGGGACACUAUCGAUGGCUAAGAGGACCCAUCAACUAUCUUCGAAGAGAACAAAGAUCAGAGUAUGUAGCAAAUACAAUUCGCCGCAUAUUAGAUUUUCUCAAUAUAUAAUCACCGCUCCUCGUGGAACUCGUCCCUAGAAGGGGGGGUAAUGUCACGGACAUACAUAUAAUUACCUAUAUGAAUAGAUAAUAGUAUGUAAAAGUAGGUUAAUUGUGUAAUAUCUUCUAGAGAAGCUUCUUAGAAGCUUCAUAGACGCUGCUUUGACUUUAUAGGAGUCUAUAGUUGACUUUUAGGUUAAAAACUUGGUCAACAAAUUAGCCAUGUGCCACGCAUGUUGGAAGCUUAAAGAACAAGCUAACUACGUGGUCUAUCCAUAGAAAACUUGCCUUGCAAGCAAAGGCAUGUGGCCUAGAAAGUCAACAUAUAUUGGAGGUCUUAUAGAACAUCGCCACGUGGCUUCUAGUUAGAUAGUAUAUAUAGAGGCAAGAGUGAAGCCCUCUUCACUCUUGUCAACUCCUUUCUUGCUUCUAGUCUAGUUUCAAGGGUCUCUAGUUUUCUUGUAUUUUGGCAAUAGCCAUUCCAGUUUCUUUCUUAAUAUACAUAUUUCUAUUUUGUCCUAUUUCUUUUUGAGAAAAGUCUCACUUACUCUUUAGCUUUCAUCGAGUUCUUGUCCCUGACAGAUACUCAAGAUAUAGAGAUGAUUAAAAUUGCAUCAAUAUCUACACCAAAUCAUGCUACUUCUCUUAUAGUGGAACAUUGUUCAAGUAUUAGAGAACCAAAAAUUGUCUUACUUGAGAAAUUUAAUGGCACAAGAUCAAAAUUUUAAAAAAUUCAUCAAUCAAAUAUAACUAGCAAUGAGCUUCAACUCCAAAGUUAUCUAACCUUAUGUCAUGGAUAUACAUAUUUAUCUUGAUAAUUAUUAAGAUAAUAAGAAUAGGUAGAAGUAAGUCAAAGUAGAUAAAUAUGAUAAUAUCUUGUGAAAAGCUUCUUAGAAGCUUCAUAGAUGUUGUUUGCCUUUAUAUAUGUUUAAAGGUGAUUGAUAGGUUGAAAACUUGGCCAACAAAGAAAUCUCGAGUUGACAUGUUGACCACUUGUAAUACAAGUUGGAUAUAUGGUGCACACUUAGGAAACUUGCUUUGCAAAUUAGACAUGUGUCCUGCAAUAUGGACGCAUAUUAGAGGUCCUAUAGCAUGUCGCCACAUAUUUCUUAAUAAAUUAUUAUAUAUAGAGACAAGAAUGAGGCCUUCUUCACUCUUGUCAACUCUUUUCUUGCUUUUAGUCUAGUUUCAAGAAUCUUAUGUUUUCUAAUCUUUGGCAAUAGUAAUUCCAGUUCUUCCUUGAAUAUACGUACUUUUUUCUAUUUUUUACUUUCCUUUUGACACAAAUUCCACGAGUUAUGCAUCUUUUUCAGUUUCUGAUUUUGAUAGUAAGAUUAUACGCAAAGAUGAAAAAGUGUAUAUUUCACUCUACUUGAGUUGACUUUUUAGGAUACAUCAUUUCAAAUAAUAAUUUUAUAAUGGAUCCUAAAAAGGUCCAAACUAUCAUAGAUUAGAAGAUUUCAAAAACAAUCAAAGAUGUCCAAUAUUUUUUGGAAUUUGCCAAUUAUUACUAGAUCUACAUCAAAAAAAAAUCUAAUUUUCUGACUCUUCUAAUAUGCUUGAUAUUGUCAUGGACAAAAAAUAUAGAUUUGAGAUCUAACAAGAAGUUCAAGAAGAACUCGUAAGAACUAGAUUAAUCAGAUAAAUACAAGAACAACACCAGAGAGGUCAGCUAGAGCUCGAAGAGAUGUGUUGUCAAGACUGAAGAACUCUUCACCCUCGAUUCCAAUAUAUACUCCUAUUUAGGAAGCUUCUCAAGCAAUUUCUACCAACUGAGAAGCUUCUAGAAGGUUCCAAAGACUUGCUUCUAGAAGGUUCUAGAAACUUAUCUCUAGAAGGUUCUAAGGACUAUGUCCCUAACAUCUUCUACCAACUAAGAAGCUUCUAGAAGGUUCUAGAGACUUGAUUCUAGAAGGUUCUAGAAGUUUGUCUCUAGAAGGUUCCAGAAACUUGUCUCUAGAAGGUUCUAGAAACUUGUCUUUAGAAGGUUCUAAAGACUAUGUCCCUAACAUCACCCCCUCCUUUAGCUUCGAGGUCUCUGAGAAGCAAUGUUGUUAUCAAUCAAUACUAAUGCAAGAAAAUGAAGAUCUAUCGCAUAACGUCUACUAUGAAUUCCAACUGUUGUUCACGAGGCAAGUGGUUCAUCGGCCCUUGAAGCCAACGGUAGUGGCCCACUCCUUCAACUUCUGACCAAGCAUGAACUUCCGUGUCCUCAUUAUGAAAUUGUUCUACAAGCACGCCUUCUGGCUGACCAUUGUAAGCAGGCUCGGACUGAAAUACAAUCACCAGUGAUCGGUUACUCGGUAUCCUCCGACAUUCUCAUGGUGUAGGUGGUUCUUCAUCUCGGGGUCGCCUUCGUGAGUUAGUCGGUUGAGAUAAUCUGACUGGCAUAGUAUCUAUCUCAUGGCUAUCCAUAUCAGAAGACCAAACUAUGGCUACUGAAAAAAUUCUAUUUUAUCUUGGAGAAAAUAACUACAUCAACUACGAAUUUUGGUGGUGCUCUCCUACUUUCUUAUAUUCUUAAGUGAACAAGCUUCAGAAGGAAGCUAUUGUCGAACCGGCUUAGGUUUAUGAGGAUGUUGUUGAUGAAACUCCUGUACCUUUUGCGGCGCAUUGGUGAGAUUUUCAGCUGGCUCCCACGUUCGCUCAUUAAUGUCGUAGCCGCACCAAUGAACAAGAUACUCCAACUUGCCCCACCUUUGCCGUGAAUCUAGUACCUUUUCAACCUCAUAUUCCUCGUGGUUCUCGAUCUCAAUACUAGGUGGCAGACAUUGUACUCUUCCAAGAAAAGAUGACUCUCGAUAACGCUCCAACAAAGAAACAUGAAAGACUGGAUGUACCUUCAUAGAAGUCGAUAAUUCCAGACGGUACGCCACUGGAUUGAUUUGCUUUUGGAUGAUAAAUGGUCCCAAUCUUCGAUAGUCCAACUUAUCACAUGGUCGCUUGGUCUUGAUAUUCCGUCGAAAAAGCCAUGCUUUAUCUCCAAUUUUGAAAGUAGGUGCUUGAUUCCGAAAUCUAUCUGCAGACGCCUUGUAGGAUUCUUGAGCGGAUUGUAAUUGAAGCUUCAACGUAUUUUGAAGCUCUGAUAGUUGUUUCGCAAAUCCUUCAGCUGCUGGAUUGUUAUUUGUUGACGGACUCAAUAAAUCAAGCUUCGGAUGAUACCCAUAGUUGGAAAAGAAUGGUGUGUAUUGAAUCGACGCAUGGAGGGUGUUGUUAUAUGCAAACUUGGCUAGCGAUAGAUAUGUGGUCCAAUCGUCUUGCUGAUAGUUGAUGUUGCAUCGUAAGUAUUGUUUCAAGACUUGGUUCAUCUGUUCCGUUUGGCCGUCAGUUUGAGGAUCAAAAGCCGAAGAAAGCUUGAUAUCCACCUUCAGUAUUUCAAAGAGAGAUCUCCAAAACUUUGAUACGAACUGGGUUCCUCGAUCUGAUACGAUAUCAUUUGGUAGUCCAUGAUAUCGAUAUACAUUAUCGAGAAAGAGCCUUGAUGUGACUUCACUAGACGAUGUCUUCUUGUAAGGGACAAAGUGCGUCAUUUUUGUAAGCUGAUCUACCACGACAAAGAUGCUGUCAAAUGAGUUCGAUGAUGGCAGGUCUGUAAUGAAGUCCAUAGAAAUUGAAGACCAUGGUCGACGUGGAAUCGGCAAUGGCUAUAGGAGUCCAUAAGGGCGAUGCCGAGGAUUCUUGGAUCUUGAACAGAUGUCGCAGGAGAGGACAAAAUCUUUCACAUCCUUCCACAUUUGGGGCCACCAAAAAUCUCGAGAAAUAAGCUUCAAGGUCUUGUUGAAUCCAAAAUGUCUCGCAGGUGGAAAAUCGUGGCGAGAUUGAAGAACUCGGAGUCGUGUUGGUUCUUUUGGGAUAUAUAACCGCUCCUCAAAGUAUAAAAGAUCUCCCUCCACCUUGAACUUGUUGUCAUUGGCAUGCUGCUUAAUAUCAAUUUCUACUGAAUCUUCAAUGGUCAUGGCAUGUACCUGAUUCAGGAAGUCAGCAUCAAUUAGUACAAUAGUAGCGCGAAGCCAAAAUUGCCCUGGCUUCAACAAUGUCAUACAUUGUUGAUCAAACGCUGCUUCUCCAGCCUUUGGUACAAGAUACAAUCUCCUCGAUAAGGCAUCAAAUAGUCCUUGUUCUUUUCUAGGUCGAUAAGUGAUAACAAAAUCGAACCUAGAUAGCAACAUACUCUACCGAGCUUGACGUCGAUUUAGAACUCGAGCCGACAUGAAAUACUCCAAAUUCUUGUGAUCUGUGUAUACAGUCACUGGAUGUGCAGCUCCUUCAAGAAGGUGAUGCCAUUCUUGGAAAGAAUCCACUAUAGCAAGAAGUUCUUUAUCGUGGAUCUCAUAAUUGAUUUCAACAGCAGAGAACUUUCGAGAAUAGAAUGCAACCGGAUGGAGCUUCUUGUCUUCUCCCAUUUGUGAAAGUAUAGCUCCCAAAGCAAAAUUCGAAGCAUCAGUUUCUAAAUAAAAAGCCUUUGUAAAGUCUGGAUGUACCAAGAUUGGAGCCGUAGUAAAUGCGGUCUUCAGGUUUUGAAACGCCUUCUCUGCUAGAGGUCUCCAUUCCAGCUUAUUCUUGCAUGUCAACCGAGUGAGAGGAGCAGCAACUUGAGAGUAAUUCUUGAUAAAGAUCCGAUAGAAGUUGACAAAACCAAGAAAGUAUUGUACGUCUCUAACCGUCUUCGGAACCUCCGAAGAUACGAUUGCUUCCACCUUCUUGGGAUCCAUCUUUAAGCCUUCUGUAGUCGCAACAAACCCCAAAAACUCCAUCUGUAUUUGAUGAAAUAAACACUUCUCCAACUUGGCAUAUAGUCCUCGCUCGCGUAGUUUCUCCAAGACCAAACGAACGUGUUUUUCAUGCUCUUCCUCAUUUUUGGAGAAUAUCAAAAUAUCAUCCAAAUAGAUGACAACAAAAUCGUCAAGGUACUCUCAAAAAAUGUCAUUCAUCAUAUGUUGAAAGAUCGCUGGAGUAUUGAUAAGACCAAAGGGCAUGACAUUAUACUCAAAAUGGCCAUACCUUGUAUGGAACGUUGACUUCCACUCAUCUCCUUCCUUGAUUCGUACAAGGUUGUAAGCUCCCCUUAGAUCAAUUUUUGUAAAAAUCCUUGCACGUCCAAGUUGUUCUAAGAGACCAAAAAUCAAGGGUAACGGGUAAUGAUUCUUCUUUGUUACCUUGUUGAGGCCUCGAUAGUCCACGCACAUCCGUAAUGAGGCAUCUUUCUUCUUCACAAAUAAGAUGGGUGCUCCAACUGACGAUUUUGAAUGAUGGAUGAAGUUCUUGGCUAAAUUCUCAUCGAUGUACUUCCGCAACUCCGUCUGCGAUAGAUUGUAGAUUGGGCCAAAAGGCGGUUGUGCUCCUUCCUGUAAGUCUAUGGCGUAAUCAUAUGGUCUGUGUUCCGGUAGCAUGUUGACAUUUUUCUUUUGAAACACGUCUUUAAAAUCCUUAUAUUGCUCCGGUAUACUUGUUGUCGAGAUCUUCUCCCCGAUAGUUGGAGCCGCAUAAAUGACAAACGGUGUGCCUUCCUUGGACGAUCUUAUAAACGCUCUUGCUCCAAUAAAUAAGGAUUUCUCUAUUCGGGGUUUUCUACUAGGCUUGCUCUUGGGUAGUUUUGUGGGAAAGGUCAUCUUCUGCAACCUCCAAUCUAUGGAUGGGUUAUGCUUUUUCAACCAAGAAAGAUCAAGAAUAACAGGAUUUGAUGGAGUUCUAAUAAUAUUGAAAAUAAUAUGACUACUAUGGUUCUAAAACGUCACUUCUAUAGGUUGUGAUUCAUAGGUGAUACUACCAGACAAUAAAGGUCGUCCAUCUAUGACCUCAACGUGAACAGGUUUGGAUUUUUGUACUAAAAGGAUCUUAUGAUGCUUCGCAAAUUCUUCGUCUAAGAAACAAGCAGAUGCUCCUGAAUCUAAUAAUGCUAAGGUUCUCAGUUUUUGAGGGCCAAUAAGCAAAGGGAUUGUAAAACAAAGGGCAGGUUGAGCGGAAAGAAAAGAACUUGGUUGUUGUUGCGAUAUUUCACUAUCCAGCCGCAUGGUUCCUAUUGCGACUGGGCAUCCUCAUUUUCCUGAAUAAACGUGCCCCUUGUCUUGACAAUACGUCGAUUUUACUUCUUGGAGUAGUUUCCAACUUUGUGGCCUUCUUCACCGCAAUACAAGUAUAGACCUUCCUCCAUACGCCGCUUUUUUUCUUCUAGAGUAAGGAAUUUGACAUGUACCACAUCAAUUUGCAUGUCUUCUACCUCUGAAUGUGAAUUCACGCUGCUUGCCGACAUAGUUGGGGCGUGGCGAACCGUAUGUUGUCUUGAACGUUGGUCUUGGCGGCGUUGGAAUAAGCAGUUAUCGGACUUCACAGCUUGCCUAAUAACUUCAUUGAGCAUUUGUGGAUCAGGAAGAGUUAACAACAAAUCCUUCACAUCGUCUCUUAAAUCCCAAUAGAGUUGAUUCAUCAAUGCUUCUUCGUCCCAAUUGAUGUCGCAUGCUAAUUGCCUGAAGUCCGAUGCAUAGACUGAUGUAGAGCGCAUUCCUUGUCGUAGUGACCGGAUCUUUGUUGUAGCCCAUCGAACCUUGUCGUAUUCACCAAAUGCUUCCGCAAAUGCCUCCAAAAAGGUUUCAAAGUUGUUUAGUAUGGACAAUCGUUUCUCAAACAAAGGAGCAAACCAUGAUAGAGCUUGUCAUGUAAGUAAGGUUCCAACAAGCCUAACACGUGACUCCUCCGUUGGAUAGCAUUCGGAUUGUAAAAUUGUUAUCAACCUGAUUUGGUUGACGAAUCCUCAAAACUUGGAACGCAUAUCAUCGAACUUGUCCGGAAGGCUAACUCGGGGUUCCUUAUGUUGUAGAACCAGCGGUGCUUGUCGAACCUGAGGCAAAGUUGUUUCUCCAAGUGUAGAAGUUUGAGGCUGGUGCAACCUAGAUUGUGCCAUCCCAUAUCCUCCAUCAUUAUGAAGCCUUGCCAUGACUCCUUCAAUCUCUACAGUUCUUUGCGAUAAUGUAGCGAGGGCAUUCAUGAUAGCAUCUAACUUGGACUCUGAACUUUCCGUCAUACUAAUGUCUUGGCCUUCGGCCAUUCUAAGAGAAGGACAGAAAUGACUCUACAAGAAGACAAUAUUGAUUUAGAGGAGGGUACUCCGCAACCUCUAAAAUGCCUUAAGAGCUUCAACAAAAGGGAUAAUCCACUCUCUCCAAGAAGAAUAAGACUCCAAUAUUGUAACAAAAGAAGUAUCAGUUUAGAGGAGGGUAAUCCGCAACCUCUAAAAUACUAGUACACUUCCAAGCAGAGGGAUAAUCCACACUCUAACAAAGAAGAAACUAGCUCUGAUAUCUGAGGUGAGUGAAGUCUCGACAAAUUAUCACGGACACAGAAUACAGACUUGAGAUCUAACAAGAAGUUCAAGAAGAAUUGGCAAGAACUAGAUUAAUCUGAUAAAUACAAGAACAACACUAGAGAGGUGAACUAGAGCUCCAAGAGAUGUGUUGUCGAGACUGAAGAACUCUUUAGCCUCGAUUCGAAUAUAUACUCCUAUUUAGGAAGCUUCUCAAGCAACUGCUAUCAACUAGGAAGCUUUUAGAAGGUUCUAGAAACUUAUUUCUAGAAGGUUCUAUGGAUUGUGUUCCUUACAUCUUCUACCAACUAAGAAGCUUUUAGAAGGUUCGAGAGACUUGCUUUUAGAAGGUUCUAGAAACUUGUCUCUAGAAGAUUCCUAAAACUUUUCUCUAGAUGGUUCUAAGGAUUAUGUUUCUCAUACUAUAUAUAACUAUUACUAAUCUUCACAAGCUUGUUAAUACUCUUAGAGCCAAAAUUUUACCUACUACUAAUGUCAAUUAUAAAAGUAUUAUUUUUAUAUCUAUGGAAGAAGUCAACAAUAAGAUCUAUUAUGUAUGUGUCAAGGACAUGAACUAAAAGAUGAUAUAUAAAUCAAUGAAAUCCAUAUCAAAGAAAGAAUAAUUCAAUAGAAACAAGGAAGUACAUAUAUUAAAAAAAAUAUGGAAUAGCUUAUUGCCAAAAGACAAGAAAACUUAAGACUCUUGAAACUAGAUUAAAAGUAAGAAAGGAGUUAACAAGAGUGAAGAAGGCUUCACUCUUGUCUCUAUAUAUAAUAUCUAACUAGGAGCUACGUGGAGGAUGUUCUAUAGGACCUCCAAUAUAAGUUGACUUUAUAAGACACAUGCCUUGACUUACAAUGUAAGUUUUUCUACGUGCGGGCCACAUAGUUAGUUUGGUCUUCAAGCUAACAACAUGUGUGGCACAUGGCUAACUUGUUGACCAAUAAUUUAAUCCAAAAAGUCAAUUAUAAAUACCUAUAGAAACAAAGUAGUAUCUAUGAAGCUUUUAGGAAGCUUCAUAGAUGAUAUUAUAGAAUUAACUUAUUUUUACCUACUUAUACUUAUUUCUACCUAUUUAUACAAGUAAUUAUUGACUUACAUGUAUAUAUCUGUAACAUUAUUCCUCCCCCCCCCCCUUCUAGGGAUGAGUUCCAUGUAGAGCGAUUAUCAUAUGUUGAAGAAAUCUAUGAUGCGACAAAUUAUAUUCACGACAUACUCAAACCUUCAUUAUCUUUGAAGAUGGUUGAUAGGGCCUUUCAACCAUCGAUAGUAUUCCAUACUAGGGCGGGAAGACCACCCUAUUAUUUGAUUGUUGCUGAGGCUUUCAUAACUUCUUUCAAAUAAAAUAUUUGAAACGCCGUCAAGAAUUGUUCUUACCUCUAAUAAAAUUACCAAAUAUUGGGAGUCUCUUGCAAGAUCGUGAUACCAAAUAUGUUAUAUCUUGCCAUCUAUUUGAAGAAAAAUAUGUCAUUCUUAAAGAUCUUAAUCUUGAUUGUGUCGUCUUGAAGGUUGUGAUAAUGACAAUGUCUCAUUUAUCAGGUCAACAAAUGAAGGGUCUUCAGUCAAAUUUGCUAAUUAUUGGUUCUCCAUCUCCUUAACGUCACAACUACAAAGAAGCUACAAACAAGGAUUGAAAGUAGAAUGUUAUCUUGUCUAGUUUUUUUUUUUUAUUAUUUUAUAGGAAAGGUUUUCAUCUUGAUUUUGAUAGAAAUCGUUGAUGAAAAGCCUCCACCGCCUUUGUUGCAUUUGUAAGAUUUUUUAUUAGCUCCCAUGUACAUUCACUAAUAUCAUAUCCUUGACAAUGAAUAAGUUAUUCUAAUUUAUUUUAACUCCGCCUUAAAUCUUAGACUUCUUUCACUUCAAACUCUUUAUUAUUGUUCACUUCUAUAAGAGGAGGUGAAGCUUUUCUUUUUCUUAGUAUGUCUAUUGUCCUAUAUGGUAAAAGAAGAAACAUGUGGAAUAUUAGAUGGAUUUUUAUUAGCUCCGGUAGGCAUAAAAAAUAUGCAACUAGAUUGAUUUGUACAAAAAUAUGAAAUGGUCCAAGCCUACAAUAGUCCAACUUGUCACAAAGACAAGUGGUCUUGAUAUUGCAAUAAAGUAACCAAUGUGAAAUAGUGGUUGUUCCUUUCAAUACAUAUUUGCAUUGAUUAUUUGUUGUUAUUGAGCUUCUUUUUUUAUUGCGCUUUCAUUAUUGCAUGUAGCUCUAACAAAUGAUUUGCCAAAUCUUUUGCCCCACGAUUAUUAGCUUUUGAAAAAUCAAAAGUAUCAAGUGGUGGAUGAUAAUCAUAAUUGACAAAGAAAUGUAUUUGUUUUGUAGAAGAAUAUACCAUGUUAUUAUAAACAAACUCUACUAAUGGCAAAAGAAUCGUUUAAUCAUGUUGUUGAUAGUUGAUGGUACAUCUUAAAUACUAUUCCAAAACUUUAUUAACACACUUCGUUUGUCCAUGAAUUUGAAGAUAGAAUAUCAAAGAUAGUUUUAUAUACACUUUUAGAAUCUUAAAAAGAGUCCGCCAAAAUCUUGAUACAAACUGAGUUCUCACUAUCGGAUAUAAUAUCCUUGGAUAAUCUAUGAUAGCAAUAGAUAUUGUGAAUAAAGAGUUUUGCUGUUUCUUCACUUAUGAUAGAUUUUGUACAUGGUACAAAAUGUACCAACUUGGUGAAACGAUCUACUAUCACAAAUAUAGAGUCAUAAGAAUAUGAGAUUGGAAGAUUUGUAAUAAAAUCCAUAGAAACAAAAGACCAUGGUUGUUCUGAAAUAUGUAAUGGUUGAAGAAAUCUGUAAGGUCAAUGAUGAGAAGUUUAUGAUCUUGAAAAAAUGUCGCAUGAGUGAACAAAGUUUUUCACACCCUUCCACAUUUGUAGCCACUAAAAAUCUUUGAAUAUAAGCUUCAAAGUUUUGUUGUAUCCAAAAUGUCAUGCUGCUGGAAAGUCAUGAUGUGCUUGAAAAAUACAUAAUUGCACUUCUCCUUUUGAAACAUAUAAUCGACCUUCAAAAUAGAAUAGGUUGUUUUUGAAUUCAAACUUAGAAGUAUCUUGAGACUUAGAAAAAAGAUUCUUGAUAUUGUGAAUAAGAGGAUCAAAAGACAUACUUGAUUGGAUUUGUUUCACCAAAGUCGAAUCAACAGUCAAUGUUGAUUUCAUUAACUGAAGAUGAAAAUGCUUUGGCUUCAAGAGAAUUAUUUUUUAUUAAUCAAAAGUUUUUUUUUUUUUUUUUUUUUUGGUGUAAGAUAAGAAUGUCUAGAAAGGAUGUCUAACAAAUCUUAUUUUUUUCUAGGUCAAUAUGUGAUCUUGAAAUCAAAUCUUAAUAAAGAUAUGUUCUAAUGGGCUUAGCGACAAUUUAAAAUAUACACUGAUAUGAAGUAUUCAAGAUUCUUGUGAUUCAUAUAUAUGGUGACUGGAUUAAAAGUGCUUUCUAGAUGAUGACACCAUUCUUGAAAUGAAUCCACGAUUGCAAGAAGUUUUUUGUUGUAGAUUUCAUAGUUAAUCUUGACUGUUGAAAAUUUUCUGAAAUGAAAAGCUAUUAGGUGAAGUUUAUCAUCUAUUCCUAUUUGUGAUAAUAUAGCAUCCAAAGCAAAGUCUGAUGCGUUUGUUUCUAUAAAAAUACCUUAAAAAAGUUGACGUGAUAUAAGAUUGAUGCAAAAAUAAAGGUUGAUUUUAAAGUUUCAAAAGAUGCUUGAGCUUCUUUGCUCCACUCAAGUUUGUCUUUGCAAGUCAAACAUGUAAGUAGAGGUGCAACUCGAGAGAAGUCUUUGAUAAAGAUCCAAUAAUAGUUAGCAAAGCCUAAAAAAUAUUAGAUAUCUCUUACUAUUUUUGAAAACUUCCAAUCUAUGAUCGUUUGAACUUUCUUAGGAUCCAUUAUAAGUCCAUCAUUUGAAAUAAUGUAUCCUAAGAAGCCGACUUGAGUAGUAUGGAAUACACACUUUUUUAUCUUGGCAUAGAAUCUCGCAUCUCUUAAUUUUUGUAACACACAACGAAUAUGAAGUUCAUGUUCCUCUGUGUUCUUGGAAUAAAUCAAGAUGUUGUCCAAAUAACAAACAAUAAAAUCAUCUAAAAACUCUCAAAAAACAUCAUUUAUUAGAUGUUGAAAAGUUAUCGGUGUAUUUGUAAGUCCAAAAGGCAUGACAUUGUAUUCAAAAUGCCCAUACCUAGUUCAAAAUGUAAUCUCUCAUUCAUCUCUUUUUUUAAUAUGUAUUAGAUUGUAUAUUCCUGUAGAUCUAUUUUGUAUAGAUAUUAGCUUGAUUCAGUUAAUCGAGAAGUCUAGAUAUCAAAAGUAGAAGAUACCUAUUCUUGAUGGUAAUCUUGUUGAAUCCUUGAUAAUCAACACACAUCCGCAAUGAUCCAUCUUUCUUCUUCACAAAUAAGAUUGGAGCUCUUGUUGGUGAUUUCAAAUGGCAUAUAAAAUUCUUGGCUAGAUUCUCUUCAAUGUAUUCUUUGAGUUCAGCUAAUUCAUUUUGUGAUAAAGUAUAGAUUGGUCGAAAUAGAGGUGUUUCCCUUCUUGAAGGUAAAUUGAGCAGUCAUAGAGAUGAUGUUCUAGAAGAGUAUCUAUAUUCUUCCUCUCAAAUACAUCUUAAAAUUCUUGAUACUAGCUGAGAAUGCCUCUUGAAUUCUUUGCAUCAUUAGAAACAUCUGUGGCGUAAAUGAUACAAGGUGAUAUUUUUUUUGCAACAUGCAAGAAAGCUCUUAUACUUACAAAUAUAAGUUUAAUUACACUGGACUUAUGACUUUCUACUAGAUUAAUUUCACUCUUAAUUAUGCUUUUAGAGAAGUCAAGGAUACAAGAAAUCCAAUGUAUGUAAGGAUUAUACUUUUCUAACUAUAAUAAACCUAAAAUGAUUGGAUUAGAAGAAGAUCUAAUUAUAUUAAAGAUUAUGCUACUACUAUGACCAUUUAUUGCUACAUCUAUAGGAAAUAUUUCAUGAAUAAUAUCUCCAAAAGAUAACGAACGACAUCUAUGACUUCUACAUGAACAAGUUUGGUUUUUUGUACUAAUGGUAUUUUAUGACUUUUAACAAAUUGUACAUCUAAGAAACAAGCUAAGGCUCUUCAAUCUAUCAAGGUAGAGCCUUUAUAAUUAUUAGCUCCUAAAUGUACAUCUAUUUUAAAAUAAGAAGAAGGUUUUGAGGAGAGGAUAGAACCUUGAUUAGAAAUUUUAUAAGAUUCCAACCAUAUAGUCCUUAUUGUAGCUGGACAAAUUUGUUUUUUGACACAUUGACUUCUUUGACAGAUGUGCUCCUCAUUUUGCAAUUUCUUUGCUUCUUUGGACAAUGUUGAGCAUCGUGUUUAAGUUCUCCACAAUAUAAGCACAAUCCUUCUUGAUGGCGAUGAAUCUUUUCUUGUUUGGUAAGAGGUUUAAAACAUAGCGCAUCAAUUUGCAUAUCCUUUACUUUUGAAUGUAUGUAUUGAAGAGAUGUUGGUAUUACCAUUGAAUUGUAGUAAUGUUGAGGUUCAUUUAUAAAACUCUCAAAUCAAAAUUCAAAAAGUCGAUUGUUGCAUUUCACAGCAAAGUCAAUUGCUUGACUCAAUAUUUGAGGAUCAGAUAAGUUGAGCAUCAAUUUCUUUACUUCAUAUUAUAAUCCAAAGAAAAAUUGGCUAAUAAGUGCAACAUCAUCCUACUUCAUAUCAAUUAUAAGUUAUCAAAACUAUGAAGUAUAUAAUAUUACAAAUCAAUUAUUUUGUCACAAAAUACGGAUCUUGUUGGUUGCAACAUAAGUUGCAUCCUGUUUUCUAUAUAUGGACUGGAAUUUUGCCAAAAAUGCUUCUAGAGUAUUCAAUAUUAUCAAAAGACAAGAAAACUUGAGACUCUUGAAACUAGACUAGAAGCAAAAAAGGAGUUGACAAGAGUGAAGAUCUUAUAAGUGAAUAAAAAAUAACUAUGCUAUUAUAAAUACAUAAGAUACAAAGAUUUGUAUGUUAAAGAAGUUUGAUGGAAUAAGAUCGAAAUUUUGAAGAUUUUUACAACAAAUCAUAUUCUAUUUAAGAUUACAUCUAUUGCAAUAUGUUGAUUGACUUACUCAAGUAAGAUCUAUUGUUGCAUUAAUAUCUAAGAAUACUUUCUCUUGGCAUGGAUGUUUGAUAGAAAAAGAUUCACAAUCUCUAUGUGAUCUAAAUUCAUUCUUAGAAGUAUUUUUGGCUACAUUUAGAGAAAAUAAUUAAGAAAUGAUAUCAAAAAUAAAACUUGUAUUUUUACAACAUAGAUCACAAUCAAAUACCAUCUAUAUUACCAAAUUCCAAAGUCUUUAUUAUAAUUUAGAUUAGAAUGAUAAAGCCCUUAUUAAUCAAUUUUGAUAUGGAUUAAAGAAUGAUGUUAAAGAUUUACUAUUAAAAAUAUUAAAAGCAAACUCCUUGAAUUUUUUUAUUGCUUAAGCCAUUGUAUAUAACAAUCAAUUCUUUGAAAAGCACAAAGAACAAAGAUUUGGUUGAAGAAGAAUGAAUGAAGUUAUGACAAUAAUUUCUAAGUUUUCAAAAACUUAUUCUUCAAAAUCAAAACCUAUGCAAAUUAAUACAAUAAUCUUUAAAUCUAUCACCAAAUAAAAAAAGACAUAAUAUUGUCAAAAAAAAUUAUCCUUAUAUUAUAGAAAAUAUGAUUAUAUUAUUUAAUAUUAUCUAAAUAAAAAAUAAAACUAUAAAAUAAAUAGUAUAAUUUUUAAUAAAAAUAUAUCUAAAAUAGAAUUUUUUAAACUACAAUUAAAAUUGUGCAAUUGAAAUCUUUUACAAUAUCUAAUGAAGGUUAUAUUUUCUCUUCAACAACCUCACCUUCUAUUACAUUAAUAAUAGACAUUUGUAUAUGAUAUAAAAAUGACAAAACCUUUAAAAAUACAAAUUUUUCUAAUAGCAAAAGAAUUGUUUAAUUAUCUUGAUGAUAGUUGAUGGUAUACCUCAAAUAUUGCAUCAAAACUUGAUUCAUUUGUUUUAUUUAUUCAUUAGUUUAAAAAUCAAAAGCCAAAGAAAGCUUUAUAUCCACCUUUAGAAUUUUGAAAAGGAUCGUCCAAAAUCUUGAUAUAAUUUAAGUUCCCUUAUCCAAUAUAAUGUCUUUGAAUAAUCCAUGAUAAUUAAAGAUGUUAUUAAAAAAAAGCUUAGCUAUUUUUUUACUUGUAAUAGAUUUUGUACAUGAUACAAAAUAUACUAUCUUGUUAAAAUAAUCUACUAUCACAAACGUAAAAUAAUAUAAACUUGAGAUUAAAAGAUCUCUAUUAAAAUCUAUAGAAAUAAAAGACAAUGGUUGUUUUGGAAUAGGUAUUGGCUGAAGAAGUCUAUGAGGUUAAUGAUGAGGAUUUUUUAAACUUGAAAAAAAAUCACAUGAUUGUACAAAGUCUUUAACUACCUUUUACAUUAGAGUCCACCAAAAAUCUCUUAAUAUUAGCUCCAAAGUCUCAUUGUAUCUAAAAUGACCAACUACUAGAAAGCCUUGACAAGUUUAAAGAAUAAUAAUCAUUCUUAGCUUUUUGGAUUAUAUAAUUAUUUCUUGAUAUAGAGUAGAUUAUUUUUAAACUCAAACUUGGAAGUAUCAUGAGUCUUAAAAGAAUUAUUAUUGAUAGCAUGAAUAAAAAGAUUAAAGGACAUACUUGAUUGAAUUUGCUUGACAAAUCUUGAAUCAACAUUGAAUAUUGAUUAUAUUAUUUAAAGAUGAAAAUACUUUGGCUUUAAAAAGAAUCAUUCUUUAUUAAUCAAAAACUAUAUAUCCUCCUUUAGAUGUAAGCUAAAAACCUUUAAAAAAGGUAUCAUACAUUUUUUUUUUUUUUUUUUUUUUCAUCAAUAAGUGAUCUUUAAAUCAAAUCUUGAUAUAGAGAUAUUUCAACAAACUUGUGAAUGAUUUUUUACAUGUGCCGACAUAAAAUACUUGAGGUUCUUAUAAUUUGUGUACAUGGUGAUAGGACUAAAAGUGCCUUUUAGAUAAUAAUGCCAUUCUUGAAAUGAAUCCAUAAUUGUAAAAAGCUCUUUGUCAUAGAUUCCAUAAUUAAUCUUUUUUACUGAAUUUUUUUUUAAAAUGAAAAGCUAUCAAGUCGAGCUUAUUAUCUGUUCCCAUUUGUAACAAAACAACAUCCAUAGCAAAGUUUGAUGCAUCUAUUUCUAUAAAAAAAUAUCUUCAAAAAGUCAACAGGAUAUAAGAUUGGUAUACAAAUAAAUGUUAUCCUCAAGGCUUCAAAAGAUGCUUCACCUUCUUUGCUUCACUAAAGUUUAUCUUAAUAUAUCUGUUAGGGACAUAGUCCUUAGAACCUUCUAAAGACAAGUUUCUAGAACCUUCUAGAGACAAACUUCUAGAAUCUUCUAGAAUCAAGUCUCUAGAACCUUCUAGAAGCUUCUUAGUUGGUAGAAGAUGUUAGGGACAUAGUCCUUAGAACCUCUUAGACAAAAAUUUCUAAAACCUUCUAGAAAUAAGUUUCUAGAACCUUCUAAAAGCUUCCUAAUUGAUAGCAGUUGCUUGAGAAGCUUCCUAAAUAGGAGUAUAUAUUCGAAUCGAGGCUAAAGAGUUCUUCAGUCUCGACAACACAUCUCUUGGAGCUCUAGUUCACCUCUCUAGUGUUGUUCUUGUAUUUAUCAGAUUAAUCUAGUUCUUGCCAAUUCUUCUUGAACUUCUUGUUAGAUCUCAAGUCUGUAUUCUGUGUCCGUGAUAAUUUGUCGAGACUUCACUCACCUCAGAUAUCAGAGCUAGUUUCUUCUUUGUUAGAGUGUGGAUUAUCCCUCUGCUUGGAAGUGUACUAGUAUUUUAGAGGUUGCGGAUUACCCUCCUCUAAACUGAUACUUCUUUUGUUACAAUAUUGGAGUCUUAUUCUUCUUGGAGAGAGUGGAUUAUCCUUUUUGUUGAAGCUCUUAAGGCAUUUUAGAGGUUGCGGAGUACCCUCCUCUAAAUCAAUAUUGUCUUCUUGUAGAGUCAUUUCUGUCCUUCUCUUAGAAUGGCCGAAGGCCAAGACAUUAGUAUGACGGAAAGUUCAGAGUCCAAGUUAGAUGCUAUCAUGAAUGCCCUCGCUACAUUAUCGCAAAGAACUGUAGAGAUUGAAGGAGUCAUGGCAAGGCUUCAUAAUGAUGGAGGAUAUGGGAUGGCACAAUCUAGGUUGCACCAGCCUCAAACUUCUACACUUGGAGAAACAACUUUGCCUCAGGUUCGACAAGCACCGCUGGUUCUACAACAUAAGGAACCCCGAGUUAGCCUUCCGGACAAGUUCGAUGAUAUGCGUUCCAAGUUUUGAGGAUUCGUCAACCAAAUCAGGUUGAUAACAAUUUUACAAUCCGAAUGCUAUCCAACGGAGGAGUCACGUGUUAGGCUUGUUGGAACCUUACUUACAUGACAAGCUCUAUCAUGGUUUGCUCCUUUGUUUGAGAAACGAUUGUCCAUACUAAACAACUUUGAAACCUUUUUGGAGGCAUUUGCGGAAGCAUUUGGUGAAUACGACAAGGUUCGAUGGGCUACAACAAAGAUCCGGUCACUACGACAAGGAAUGCGCUCUACAUCAGUCUAUGCAUCGGACUUCAGGCAAUUAGCAUGCGACAUCAAUUGGGACGAAGAAGCAUUGAUGAAUCAACUCUAUUGGGAUUUAAGAGACGAUGUGAAGGAUUUGUUGUUAACUCUUCCUGAUCCACAAAUGCUCAAUGAAGUUAUUAGGCAAGCUGUGAAGUCCGAUAACUGCUUAUUCCAACGCCGCCAAGACCAACGUUCAAGACAACAUACGGUUCGCCACGCCCCAACUAUGUCGGCAAGCAGCGUGAAUUCACAUUCAGAGGUAGAAGACAUGCAAAUUGAUGUGGUACAUGUCAAAUUCCUUACUCUAGAAGAAAAAAAGCGGCGUAUGGAGGAAGGUCUAUACUUGUAUUGCGGUGAAGAAGGCCACAAAGUUGGAAACUACUCCAAGAAGUAAAAUCGACGUAUUGUCAAGACAAGGGCACGUUUAUUCAGNNNNNNNNNNNNNNNNNNNNNNNNNNNNNNNNNNNNNNNNNNNNNNNNNNNNNNNNNNNNNNNNNNNNNNNNNNNNNNNNNNNNNNNNNNNNNNNNNNNNNNNNNNNNNNNNNNNNNNNNNNNNNNNNNNNNNNNNNNNNNNNNNNNNNNNNNNNNNNNNNNNNNNNNNNNNNNNNNNNNNNNNNNNNNNNNNNNNNNNNNNNNNNNNNNNNNNNNNNNNNNNNNNNNNNNNNNNNNNNNNNNNNNNNNNNNNNNNNNNNNNNNNNNNNNNNNNNNNNNNNNNNNNNNNNNNNNNNNNNNNNNNNNNNNNNNNNNNNNNNNNNNNNNNNNNNNNNNNNNNNNNNNNNNNNNNNNNNNNNNNNNNNNNNNNNNNNNNNNNNNNNNNNNNNNNNNNNNNNNNNNNNNNNNNNNNNNNNNNNNNNNNNNNNNNNNNNNNNNNNNNNNNNNNNNNNNNNNNNNNNNNNNNNNNNNNNNNNNNNNNNNNNNNNNNNNNNNNNNNNNNNNNNNNNNNNNNNNNNNNNNNNNNNNNNNNNNNNNNNNNNNNNNNNNNNNNNNNNNNNNNNNNNNNNNNNNNNNNNNNNNNNNNNNNNNNNNNNNNNNNNNNNNNNNNNNNNNNNNNNNNNNNNNNNNNNNNNNNNNNNNNNNNNNNNNNNNNNNNNNNNNNNNNNNNNNNNNNNNNNNNNNNNNNNNNNNNNNNNNNNNNNNNNNNNNNNNNNNNNNNNNNNNNNNNNNNNNNNNNNNNNNNNNNNNNNNNNNNNNNNNNNNNNNNNNNNNNNNNNNNNNNNNNNNNNNNNNNNNNNNNNNNNNNNNNNNNNNNNNNNNNNNNNNNNNNNNNNNNNNNNNNNNNNNNNNNNNNNNNNNNNNNNNNNNNNNNNNNNNNNNNNNNNNNNNNNNNNNNNNNNNNNNNNNNNNNNNNNNNNNNNNNNNNNNNNNNNNNNNNNNNNNNNNNNNNNNNNNNNNNNNNNNNNNNNNNNNNNNNNNNNNNNNNNNNNNNNNNNNNNNNNNNNNNNNNNNNNNNNNNNNNNNNNNNNNNNNNNNNNNNNNNNNNNNNNNNNNNNNNNNNNNNNNNNNNNNNNNNNNNNNNNNNNNNNNNNNNNNNNNNNNNNNNNNNNNNNNNNNNNNNNNNNNNNNNNNNNNNNNNNNNNNNNNNNNNNNNNNNNNNNNNNNNNNNNNNNNNNNNNNNNNNNNNNNNNNNNNNNNNNNNNNNNNNNNNNNNNNNNNNNNNNNAAGAGGGGUUGACGAAAAGGGGGGGGAAAGAGACAGUGCCUUAAUACUUGAGGUGGAUCUACGGACGCUUGUGAAAGGCUGGAGAAGCAGCGUUUGAUCAACAAUGUAUGACAUUGUUGAAGCCAGGGCAAUUUUGGCUUCGCGCUACUAUUGUACUAAUUGAUGCUGACUUCCUGAAUCAGGUACAUGCCAUGACCAUUGAAGAUCAGUAGAAAUUGAUAUUAAGCAGCAUGCCAAUGACAACAAGUUCAAGGUGGAGGGAGAUCUUUUAUACUUUGAGGAGCGGUUAUAUAUCCCAAAAGAACCAACACGACUCCGAGUUCUUCAAUCUCGCCACGAUUUUCCACCUGCGAGACAUUUUGGAUUCAACAAGACCUUGAAGCUUAUUUCUCGAGAUUUUUGGUGGCCCCAAAUGUGGAAGGAUGUGAAAGAUUUUGUCCUCUCCUGCGACAUCUGUUCAAGAUCCAAGAAUCCUCGGCAUCGCCCUUAUGGACUCCUAUAGCCAUUGCCGAUUCCACGUCGACCAUGGUCUUCAAUUUCUAUGGACUUCAUUACAGACCUGCCAUCAUCGAACUCAUUUGACAGCAUCUUUGUCGUGGUAGAUCAGCUUACAAAAAUGACGCACUUUGUCCCUUACAAGAAGACAUCGUCUAGUGAAGUCACAUCAAGGCUCUUUCUCGAUAAUGUAUAUCGAUAUCAUGGACUACCAAAUGAUAUCGUAUCAGAUCGAGGAACCCAGUUCGUAUCAAAGUUUUGGAGAUCUCUCUUUGAAAUACUGAAGGUGGAUAUCAAGCUUUCUUCGGCUUUUGAUCCUCAAACUGACGGCCAAACGGAACAGAUGAACCAAGUCUUGAAACAAUACUUACGAUGCAACAUCAACUAUCAGCAAGACGAUUGGACCACAUAUCUAUCGCUAGCCAAGUUUGCAUAUAACAACACCCUCCAUGCGUCGAUUCAAUACACACCAUUCUUUUCCAACUAUGGGUAUCAUCCGAAGCUUGAUUUAUUGAGUCCGUCAACAAAUAACAAUCCAGCAGCUGAAGGAUUUGCGAAACAACUAUCAGAGCUUCAAAAUACGUUGAAGCUUCAAUUACAAUCCGCUCAAGAAUCCUACAAGGCGUCUGCAGAUAGAUUUCGGAAUCAAGCACCUACUUUCAAAAUUGGAGAUAAAGCAUGGCUUUUUCGACGGAAUAUCAAGACCAAGCGACCAUGUGAUAAGUUGGACUAUCGAAGAUUGGGACCAUUUAUCAUCCAAAAGCAAAUCAAUCCAGUGGCGUACCGUCUGGAAUUAUCGACUUCUAUGAAGGUACAUCCAGUCUUUCAUGUUUCUUUGUUGGAGCGUUAUCGAGAGUCAUCUUUUCUUGGAAGAGUACAAUGUCUGCCACCUAGUAUUGAGAUCGAGAACCACGAGGAAUAUGAGGUUGAAAAGGUACUAGAUUCACGGCAAAGGUGGGGCAAGUUGGAGUAUCUUGUUCAUUGGUGCGGCUACGACAUUAAUGAGCGAACGUGGGAGCCAGCUGAAAAUCUCACCAAUGCGCCGCAAAAGGUACAGGAGUUUCAUCAACAACAUCCUCAUAAACCUAAGCCGGUUCGACAAUAGCUUCCUUCUGAAGCUUGUUCACUUAAGAAUAUAAGAAAGUAGGAGAGCACCACCAAAAUUCGUAGUUGAUGUAGUUAUUUUCUCCAAGAUAAAAUAGAAUUUUUUCAGUAGCCAUAGUUUGGUCUUCUGAUAUGGAUAGCCAUGAGAUAGAUACUAUGCCAGUCAGAUUAUCUCAACCGACUAACUCACGAAGGCGACCCCGAGAUGAAGAACCACCUACACCAUGAGAAUGUCGGAGGAUACCGAGUAACCGAUCACUGGUGAUUGUAUUUCAGUCCGAGCCUGCUUACAAUGGUCAGCCAGAAGGCGUGCUUGUAGAACAAUUUCAUAAUGAGGACACGGAAGUUCAUGCUUGGUCAGAAGUUGAAGGAGUGGGCCACUACCGUUGGCUUCAAGGGCCGAUGAACCACUUGCCUCGUGAACAACAGUUGGAAUUCAUAGUAGACGUUAUGCGAUAGAUCUUCAUUUUCUUGCAUUAGUAUUGAUUGAUAACAACAUUGCUUCUCAGAGACCUCGAAGCUAAAGGAGGGGGUGAUGUUAGGGACAUAGUCUUUAGAACCUUCUAAAGACAAGUUUCUAGAACCUUCUAGAAGUAAGUCUCUGGAACCUUCUAGAAGCUUCUUAGUUGGUAGAAGAUAUUAGGGACAUAGUCCUUAGAACCUUUUAGAGAUAAGUUUCUAGAACCUUCUAGAAGCAAGUUUCUGGAACCUUCUAGAAGCUUCAUAGUUGGUAGAAGUUGUUUGAGAAGCUUCCUAAAUAGAAGUAUAUAUUGGAAUCGAGGCUGAAGAGUUCUUCACUCUCGACAACACAUCUCUUGGAGCUCUAGCUCACCUCUCUAAUGUUGUUCUCAUCUGAUUAAUCUAGUUCUUGCCAGUUCUUCUUAGACUUCUUGUUAGAUCUCGAGUCUAUAUUUCUGUGUCCGUGACACAUUGCUAUUGUCACUUCUACCAAGUGUAGAAUCCAUAAGUUUUUUCUAUUCCAUCUUUAUAAUAAAUAACUUUAAUAAAUCCUCAAGUCAAACUAAAAGCAGAUAAUUCACAACCUCUUAUAUUAAAACAAAAUCUUUACAAAGAAGAAUUGUCUACUUUAUUUAAGAAAAAAAUAAUAUUAAAAGAUAAAAAUAUUAAUUUUAAAGUGGAUAUUUUUUAACCUUUAGAAUACAACAAUAAAAAAUAAAAUAAUCCAAUUUCUUCUAAAAUAAAAUAAGAAUAUAUAUAUAUAUAUAUAUAUAUAUAUUAUCAAAUUAUCAAGGACAUAAAUCAUAAUAAAACUCUAAAGAAAGAAUACACUCUUAUGAUACUUAAAAAGAUAAGUUAGAUUAAUUAAAGAUAGAUAUAAGGUAAAAAUUAGAAUUUUUGUAUUGAAUAAUUAAUUAAAUAAAAAAACUUUAUGUAAUAACAUAGUAAUUAAAUUUAAUAAAAUAAUAUUUUUUAACCAUUUGAAACUUUUUAAAUUAAAGAAUUGAAAUUUAGCUUUUGACAAUACUUUGAUUUGAGAAAACUAACAAAACUACUUAUAAGAAUUUUGAUAAUGUACAAUAAUAUUUUUUCUUGUUGAUCAAUAAAAAGAAAUUUUCAAAAUUAAAAUUUACAAAUCACAUUGAAAAUAAAAUAAAAUGCAUGGUAGAUAAAAUAAUCACAGAUUAUACAUAUACACAUAAACAAAAUUCUAGACUAUUAAAUAUAAUCAAUUUUUUCCUAUCUUGUGAGUCAACCAUUUUAAUGAAGUCUGUCAAAGUAAACAGUAAAUUAUCAUUACUUUGUAGAGCAGACUUUUUUUCAAUACUUUUUUAAUAUUAAAUAUCUUAUUACAAGACAAUACAAUAUUUUGUGACUAUGAUUUUCAACUGAGUUCAUUCAAAAUAUGAACAUGUGAUUCUAAUGAGUACUAAAUUUAAAAUAUGUAUAUAACAACACAUAGUACUUUGUGAUUGAAGAGAAAGAUGUACCAAUACACAAUUCUUGUUCACAAAGGAUUAAAUUAUGCUUUUAAAAAUAUAUGCACACACAUGCAUGUGUUUUUUGAAUUAGAAAUAAUAAUACCAUAAUUAUCCAAAAAAAAUUAUUUUAAAACCGCAAGAAGUUUUUAAUUGUUAAACAUAGAGUAUGCAUUUAUAUGAAGCAAGUUGUGGUGUAGGUUGGACAUAAAUUCUUCCAACGUAACUACUUUCUUGAAUUUGUGACUGUUUAUAAUUCUUUAAAAAGAAUAUCAGUAUAUUUUUGUUUAUUUUCUGAUGUUCAAAAUGAAGAACAAGUAACAACUAUAUAAUUUAUCAUUAUUUAUUCACGGUAUUAUUUACUGUAUACUGAUGUUCAAAAAACACAAUUUCUAUUGUUAAAAUUGCAGGAAAGUAACUUUUGAUGUUUUUAUCUAAAAUAAGGUUCUAAUCAAACUAAAAAUGAGAGUGUAUUUAUUCUUAUUGUUUGUUUGUAUUAUUCAAUAAUAAUAAUAAUAAUAAUGACAUAAAUUAUGUUUUGUUAACAUUUCAACAAGAUACUGUUUAAUGUAAAAAAAAAGAAUAUUUUUUUAAUUUAAAAACAGAUAAAAUUGACAUUGAUAACAAACAUUGACAUUUAAAUUGUUAAUUGGAUACAAAAAGAAUCAAAAUAAAAUAAAUAAAUAAAUAAACUUUUUUUUUUUUACAAGUUUAACAGUGUAUAAACAAAUUCUAAAACAGUUAAUUUCCAAACAAAUCAGCAAACUAUAAUCUUACAAUGAAAUCCCAGAAAUUUCCAAACUGAUCCUAUGGAAAUUUCCGACAUGUUAAUAUUUUUUUUUAUUAUUCGUAAGCUCCUAAAAUUUCGUGACAUUUGUGAGAUGGUACCGGAAUUAAUUUUAAAAAUAAACAAAUAAAUAAAUAAAUAAAUAAUACUACCGUAAUUUUGUAGACAUCUGAAACUCAUGAAAGAUCCCAAGUUUGAGUAACUUUUUAGAAGAAUGAAUGAACACACACACACACACACACACACAUGUUUAUAUAUAUAUAUAUAGAAGGUUUACAAUUACUUGCAUCUGAAAGUCAAUUUCCAAAAUUUCCCACAGAACAGUUUAAGAAGAAUGAACAAAUACAGUACAUUCUCUGAACUCUCACGCAUUUGUUGACAGUAUGAUGCUGCAGACCUGAGCAAAAGAGGAGAAAAUAAAAGACACUAGCUGAGCGCCACAAACCCAUAUCUGCAACCCCCAUAAAUGUAGCACCUCUGAAAAUUCAGAAAUGUAACACAUUGACAUCAUCGUCGGAAACUGAUGAAAACAAAACCGUCUGAGAAUUGAACACAAGGACAACUGCCCUGAUAAAGAUACAAAUGCGUGCAAGGCACAUGACAAUCCCCAGUCCACUCAGUGCAGCUCUCCAUCAUACUACAACAUAACGCUCCACGUUGCACAUCAAUAUAUAUAUAUAUAUAUAUAUAUAUAUACAUAUUCUAGGACUGAAUGUUCUUGGACAAAAUCAAGUCGUUCUGGUGAUUACAUAAUAAAACAAAACUACGUCGGCUUUGCAAAUUUAGCUUAGGUAUCAACUUAAGGAACUACUUUACAACGCCAAAAGCUUACUUUACACAAACAGAUGUCCGGGUUGCCACACGUAUGGUUCGACCUCUGCUCAUGGCAGUGCACAUGGAGCAGUGCUAGUGCCUAGCUCCUUCCUCUGGCCCCAAGAAUACCAGGUUAAACAAGAACUACUUCUUCCAGAAAGAGUUAUCAUUGCCUUUUUUUUUUUCUUUUUUUUUUCUUUUAUUUUAUUUUUUUUGGUCUAGGAUAGUGCUGCUUGCAAAAUAGUGUCUAACCACUUGGCACCCACUUGAAGAAUGCAAGUAUCUUUCGAGUCAUCUCGAAAUUGUUACGCGAGUCGGACAGAUGGCAUCGAUUGUGUUACCCUCCAGUACUCCCACCCAUUCUGACCGUCUCCACAACUGCUUGUACCCUCAUACUUAUAUUUGCAUGUAGCCUCUAUGCUUCAGUCGAUACUUUGUCAGAGUGAUCAGUGAACACACUCGUACCGUCCUGUUCCUUUGCGCCCCACACCUCGUUUGCAACCUCAGCGCCAGGUUUCUCUGCAAUAUGAUCUUUGACCACGUAUCCCUCCGUCUCCUCUGUGGGGGAUUCCUCAUGAUAUGCUGUGCAAGAAAUUUUCAACAAUGACAUGAAAGUUAGAAAAAAGGAAAAGGAAAAGGAAAAAAAUUCAUAGUAUUUAACUAUUUUGGAGCACUUCCACUAACCUGAGCCACAUUGCAAGCUCUAAUCGAUAGUUUCAAAGGUUAAGCUUAAGAUAAAAGCAGCUCUAAAUCAUGAAUACCAGGAGGAAAAAAGAAAAGAAAAGAAAAGAAAAGAAAUAACUUAUACAAGAAUGCAUACACGCAUCUAAACAGAACGUAGAGCAUUCUCAAUGCAGCUUCGGCGCACACCUGAGCAUAAAAUUACUGACCAUCUCUGUCCAACAACACCCAAAAAACCGGAUAGAUGAACAAAAGCUUGGAUCUGUCUAGAGACUAACUCACUUACCGGUUACAUUAGAUUGCUCGAAAAGCUCUUGACUAGCUCUUUCUAUAGCCUCCUCUGGAUGCUUUUCAGUAUCCUACAUUCUCCAAUAUUAUUCGUUAAAAACCUAGACCAUAAAGAAGAAUCUCGUACAAACUUGUCAAUAUAACCCAUGUUAUGCAAGCCGAUGCUAUUCAAGAUUUCUGAAACGGCGCCCUCCCAUAAAAUACAGGGGGAAUAUUAAUCUCUCCUUACAACCUCUAUUUUAAAGAAACAGCCAUGAAAAUAGGCAAACCAUUGAAGGCGACUUCAUCCUAACACGAGCCUUACGAAUUAUCUUCAAAAUGGAACAGCCGGAGUAUAUACCUCAGGUAUCUUCUCUGCAAACUUUUCACCGAAACUCGAAUAGCCCAUGAACCUCGCAGAGCCAACAAACAACCCAUCACUCAAUUGAGCAAGCGACCCACCAGCUCCUCUUGAUCCAACAAGACUGGGCGCCCCAUCCUUCCUUCCAACUGUUGAGAAAGUCUUGUUUACACGAGAACUCGCCACAAGGUCAUUGCAGCCUUGCGGUACCACCGAGGACAAUCGCCUCACGUUUCUGCAAAAUAUUACAGCCGUUCUCAUGACUUCGAACCCUUCGAAAUCCUUCCCCUGAUCCUCGGGCUUCCUUCGAAUCGAAACCCCCUCUACGCAACUAUUUCCGCUGCACACGCACAACUCACAACAAUUCCGAAAUUCAAAAACUCAACUUAAACUUCACACACACGACCCCAUGACCACUGAUUUUUCACUAAUCCUCCUCAACCCUCCUCUACAAACAAGAUUCAUGCACACAAACGGGGACAAUCUCACAGAAUGCUGCACGAAAAAAACCGACACACAUCUGCUGUACCCUCUCACUCAACACCACCCAAAUCAAUCUCAGAAAUCCCUCUAGAGCAAAAAAAAAAAUCCCAUUCCCCUUCCAACCCACCAAAUCGCACCUCUACUUCAAACCCGACGAAUCUCUGUCCCAAACACGCCCUUCAUCUCGCGCAUGACAUCACUCAAGUUCAAACUAGCUCACUAAAACACGACACAAAACCGUGGGCAAAACACUGUAGGAAGUGAGAGCGCACUUGAUCGAGAGCUCCUUAGUGACAGCGUCGAAAUUCUCGCAGCAAAGAUGCGCAUCGAUGAAGCAACAGCAGGCAAAACUGCGAAACUAGUGUCCAGAAGAAUGUGAGCACGGCCGAAGAAGAAGAAGGAAGAAGAAGCAGAAGCAGUGGGUCUGUCAGUGGCAAACUGUACCCCGCGCCGUCGCCCCAAAGGCACUUUUCAUGGACGGACGUCCACCCCUUCGUUUGCCCUCUUGACGAAAGCGUUGCUUUUCACCGGACGACGAGGAGACGGAACCGGACCGAGAUUCUAGCGCAGUUGUGGAGCGUGACUGGUUAGUUGUUGACGUCGUCCGUUAAACGUUCGUCGGUUUAUACAACGAAUUGAGAUUUCGUUGGAUUUGAAGGAUGUUGGGUUUUAAACGUGUGGACUUCCCAUGUGUCACCUUCACUCACAUCUUUUCUCUUGUUUGUGUAAAUAUUUGUUAUUUGUAAAUCCAAUUCUAGUUUCGUAAUUUUCUUAAGAAAUUGCUCCUUCUAAAUGGAAUUGUGUUUCAUUUUUUUUUAAGUUCACAAUGUAGCAUCUAAAUACUAAAAAUAUUACAUGCUAAGUUUUGAAUCAACGUUUAUUAUUUGGUGUGGCGACUAAAUAAACUUCAAUUGAUUAUUAUCACCAAAUUUGGUAAAUUAUUAUACUUUAUGUUUUUAAUGAAUUAAAUUAAAUUAAAUUAUUAUUAUUAUUAUUUGCAUCUAUUUUAAAUAAUAAUAAUAAUAAUAAUUUUAAUUAAUAUUAUCUAUUUUAAUAAUUUCACUAUUACUUUUUGAUAUUGUAGGUUAUGUGGUUAUUUUUCUAUCUAAUAACAAUAUCAAGAAUACAUAUUUGUCUUCAAUUUAAAAUCAAGUCAACACUAAAAUAAAAAUGUGCAAACAAUCUAUGAAUUGAAAUUGGAUUGGUUAUUUUAAAUAAGGGUAUUAACUUUAACAUUUAAUUCUUUUGCUGUAAAAUAUUCUUAAUUAUAAUUUCGACGUUGAUACAAUUUCCAAUAUUAUUAUGUUACAUUUAAAGAUAUGUUCUGUUAGUGGAGUUUUUUUUAAAAAAAAAAUUAAAAUACUAUUUAAAAAAGUGAGAAUAACAAAAUCAAGAUAUAUAUAUAUAUAUAUAUAUAUAUAUAUAUAUGAAUUAUUUAAAUUUACAGCAAUAAAAAUCAUCACAACUCCAUUUCCUAACGUAGAUGGUGAGUAUUAUUUUAUUUUGUUUUUUUAUGAUAUUUACUCUCUUCCUAAGAAGCAAAUGAUAUGUAAACAAUGAGCUCUAUUUACACAAAUAUUUGGCAUUAAUUUGAAAACGUUAAAAAUCAAAAUUCUAGUUGUUAAAAAUGAUUGGCAACUUUGAAUGGGAUUUUCCUUCUUUGCAAUAUUCAAAAAAUCUGAUAGUAAAUCAAAUCAAUUUGACUGAUUGUUUUAAUCUUAAAUAAUUGGAACAAACCUCACGUAAAGACCUGUAGGAGCCGUUCCCACAAAAUUAUGGUUAUUAAUGGUCUCUUAAAACACACCAAAAAGUUGGGUGCCUUUUGCUUUUUUUAGGGGAAAACCAAUCAACUCCAAACAUGUGACUUUUGCAAAAACUCUACACUUUUUCCACCCAUAAUCUAUAUUAAUUAACUUAGUUUUUGGAUGUUAAAUUAUUAAAUCACUAGAGUUUCAAACAGUACGCAUUGCUAAUACAAAAACAAAAUAAAACUCAAGAAGAUAUAAAUGAAAAUAUAUAUAUAUAUAUUAUAAAUAAAUACAAAAUACCUAUAAUGUAAAUAGUAAUUCCAACAAGAUAUUUCUUUCGACACAAAAAUAAAUAUGAGAAUUUAAAAUCAUAUAAUGAAUUUUAAAUAUUCAUGUGUAUACAUAGAUAAUUUUAUCAAUACUUAUUUUUCAAAAAAAAAAUUCUAUUUAAAUUUUUAUAGCCAAUAUCCACGGAAUAAUAUAUAUUUUUUCUUUGUUGAGAUAUCUAUAGAUAUAGAUACAUUUAAUAAAAUACUAACAAAUAAAUUAAUUUAUGUGCUUAAUAUAUAAAUAUUUUAAUGGAUAUAUAUAUAUAUAUAUAUACACACACACAUAUGCACAUAAAUAAUUCAACAUAAUUAAAAAAAAAAAAAAAAACUGCAGUGUUUACCACUGAUCACAAAUUUUAUAUGGGUAUUUAGUACUUCAACACCACAUUUGAAUUACUUAGUAUGAAUUGAUCUUUUUUAAACAUUUUAAAUUUUAUAAUCUGACAUAAAAUAUGAUAAGUAUAUAUAUAUAUAUAUAUAUAUAUAUAUGUACAUACAUACAUACAGCUAAUAAAUUAUUAUUAAGCUAAAAUGAAAAGUUCUAAAAAGUAUGCAAAAACUAUAAAUUAUUUAUCACAAUCAAACCAAAAGAUUUUUAAUUCUUAUUUUAAAUUUAAUUGAUUGCAUUUUUUUAUAUAUAGCAAGUCAUAAUUGAAUAAAAUGAAAUAAAAUUUAAAUAUACACAAUCUAAACAAUCUGUAUCAAAUUCAUUAUUGUACAUUUUUUGAUGUGAUGAAAAAACUUACUUUUCAAAAACGAAUAUUUUCAAAAAAACCGUAAACUUUACUUAUAAAUUUAUUACAACUCGAUUGACUAGGAAAACUUUUGAAAAAUAAAGUCUAGAAAAUUACACAUUUUUCAGUUUGAAUUGUUAUAUGCAAGUCAAUUUUUUUGUUUAUUUUUUGACGUUAUUGUUAUUCUAGAUGUUGUUACACCUGUAUUAAAGCCUUGCACAUAAAAUUACAACACCAUUGUAGUCAUUUUGGGAAAUGUUAUAUCCUCAUGAAAGCUCAAAUGUAUCUACAAACAUAUAAUUUUGAAACACUGAAUCAGAAUUUUACAUUAAAUACAAUUAACCAAAAUUACAGAUAUAUAUAUAUAUAUAUAGAGAGAGAGAGAGAGAGAGAGAGAGAGAGAGAGAUCAUUAAAUAGUAGUCAAAUUCAUGAAUGAGAAAGACCGAAAAUGAUAUUAUAUUCAACACCAGAAAUUUGUUUAGUUGUGGUGAUCCAGUUGCUGGUGAGACUCAGUGCAGAAAGUGAGUCUAAUGAUAGUAGGAUUUGACCUUUGGUUCAUUGCUCUGCAUAUUUUACAUGGGAAUUGCAUAUUGCAAUUUAUUUUCUCCCCCCCCCCCUCCCAUUUUAAUCAAGGAGAAAAAUUUGUGCAUUGGCUUCAGCCCUUGAGUUUCUUUACUAUUUGUUGUGCUUGUAUCAUUUCGUAUUGUUUAUUGGAGCAGGAAUUUGUGUGAUAUUUGAAGGAAAAAAUGUUGAUAGACAUGAAUCCUAAUGAUACAACACAUUAAGUACGUACUACACAUCAGAUUGAUUCAAACACAAUUGAAGCUCAUACUGACAUGAGGGCCCUUGUGUAAGUUCCCUUUUGCUGCCAGUACUUUCAGAGGCAUGACACAGACAUGAAAUCAAGCCUUCAUCCCUCCCUCCUGCUGUGUGUGUGUGUUUUUUUUGUAUGUGUACACUUGAGAGAAAUGAUUCAAAGUUGCUAUCAGUAUGUACAAAUCUACAUACAUACACAUAUUUGUAUUUCAUUUUAUGUUGAGAAAGGAUUUCAGGUCACAGUCUGAUUUGACUGCUGAACUAAGUCAGUAAUAGACUCAUCCACUCUUUGAUGUGGGUUUUUGAAGUUGAUUGCUGUGGGUUUGAUCCUCUCCAUUAGAGCUAAUGGCUCCAUUCCACACAUCCUGAAUCAAGCAGCAGCAGGCCUCACUAAAGUUUAAGAGGCAUUAAACCAUACUUUACAAACCCACUGGCUUCAUCCUCUCAUUGUUUGUUUGUUUACAAGCUCAGCUUCUCUCAGACUGGUAACUUUGUUGUGGAACUGCAUCCAUGUCAACUUGCAUUUGUUGCUACAUGUAUGCUGCAUGAUUUUGUGUCAAAGCAUGGCAUGAAUUCUAGGAUUGUAAUUCAACAUCUGUUGUGAUGAGUUGUUAAGAAAAAUAAAUAAAUUGAUUUAUUUUUUGAUUUUUUGAUUUUUUAUCAUAUUGAAUCUCAGUAGAACCUGUGUAAAAUAUUGGAAAGAGCACAUUAUUGUAUAUUGUUGUGUGUACUUUUGGUCCAAACUAUUUAAACAUUUGAAUUAAAAGAUUCAAAGUAUUUGAUUGGAAGUAUGUAAUUUUGAUUUUCAAUUUCAUAAAUUCGAUCUUUAUUUCAACAUCUAUAAUAAUUAAAAAACCGGAAUAAACCAAUCUAUAAAUUGGGAAUAAGUCAAAAGUAAACAUUUGGAGCUAUUGAUGGAAGUAAAGAUAAAAAGCUCUUUUCGUACAUAGAAAAUUAAAUUACUCAAGAUUAUGAAACUCUUUUCAUGUAAGUUUCUUCAUCUAUAUUUACUAGUACAUGAUUUACUUGUUUUGAUGGAUAAUGUGGGAUUAGUGGUCCUGCAAACAAUAAAACUCAAAAAGUGCACAUUUUCAAAUGAAACCAUUGGUUUUAAGGUUUCGUUUUUAUUAGUUAUUUAGAAAAAUACUUAAAGAUAUAAUUUUCAUGUAUUUUUAGUAUAAUAAAAAGAUAUUUCAGGUUUUAAUUUAAAAACUCAUCAGAUAAAAAAAAUUCAAAUAAUUUGUUUGAAUAUAAUUCUUUAGAAAAAGGUUUAAAUAACUUGUGUAAUUCAGCUUAUAUGAUUUUAAGAUUUUGGUAUCCUUGUUGCAAAAAUGGAAUUUUAAAUGGUUUAAAGCAUUAAUUAAUUUAAGAUAAUUAUGUAUUUUUAAUUUUUAAUUUGAAAGAAUUUUAAUUUAAAUUCCAUUUUACGUAAUAACAUACAUAUACACUUAUAGAAGUCAAUAAUACAAAACCCUGAACUAACCAUAGUUUUAUUAUUAAAAUUUGAACGAAGUUUUUGAAUAGAUAUUUAAACAGAGUCAAGAAAAAGACACUGGAAACAUGUUAUUUUAUAUGGACAUUGACUUCAAACAAACAUUCGUGGCUACAAAUUUUUAUUCUCAAAACUUACAUCAAAACUUUUAAUUACUGCAUAUUAUACUGCUCAGGUAAUCCAUAGGUUCAACAAUAAAAAGGAACAAAAACAAUGACUUGAUAGAUGUAGCUAAUCAAGAGUUUUAUUAUUCUUUUUUGUUUUGAAUUGUAGAAGAUUUAAGUUAUCUCUCUCUCUCUCUCUCUAUAUAUAUAUAUAUAUAUGUUUGAAUGAAAGAAUGGUUCUUACAAAAGCAUAAUUUUUAAAGGAAAAAAAUUGGACACUACUUUUUUUAAGAAGACACAUGUGUUUUAUAGUUAUAGUCAUUCAUGCAACUUGUUUGCAUAACUUUAUAGUUUUUUUCUCUAACAUAGUACACACAUCUAAAUUUUAAUAUUUGACAUUAAUCAUUUAAUAAACAAAAAGGACAUUAUUUACCUUUUUUAAUUUUUAAUUUUUAAUUUUUUUACCAUAAUCCUUUUUGAUAGUAUCAAUAUGAUCAUAUACAUAUAUAAAUAUAAAUAUUGAAUGGAAAUGAUAUCACUGUUUAAAUGUAUAGUAUUGGGGUUGUUCAUGUAAUAGUAUGAGAAUGUCUACUUAAUAAAGGGGGGAUGUCCACCCAAUGGUUUAUUUUAUUUUAUUUUAUUAACAUUGUAAAAUUUGUGAACUGUUUUAUAAUAUUUAAAACAUUAACUUUUAGUAAAACUAACUGUAAAUAUUUAUAUAAGAAAAUAACAUAAUUAUAUGAUCUCCAACCAGAACACACAACAAGUAAGUGAUUUUGGACCCAUUGAUGUUGCACUAAUGUAAUGUAAUGUACUGUUCCCAAAUGAAAGUCAAGAUAUUAUUCCUAUAUAACAAUCAUUGAACAGAACUAUAAUAACAUAUGGCUGUAUAAAUGUACAGAAGAAGGAGAAGCCAUCUGGUGGUGUUGGGGGGGGUAAUUCCACAUACAUGUACAUAUUCUCUCUCUCUCUCUCUCUCUCUCUCUCAAUUUUAACCCUCCCUCAGAGUCAUCAUCAGUAGUAAUAUUGAAGAGCAGUAUUGAUUGAUGUGUAUUGUAUGUAUGUAAUGUAUGGAGGCGAGGGAGGGAGAUGAGCUGGCAAGGGAUGGGAGUUGAAGGUGAGCUGGCAAGGGAUGGGAGUUGAAGGUGAGCUGGCAAGGGAUUGGAUGGAGGAAGGUCAUGAAGAGAGAUAGGAUAUGUAUUUAUACUCUCUCUCUCUCUCUUUUACUUCCUAUCCUUCCCUUUGGCCCCCUUCCUAAUGGUACUAUUCUACUCCUACCACCACCACCACCCUCUAAUUCUUCUUCUACUGCUACUACUUCUACCCCCUCUGGACUCAACAACUCUCCUUCUCCCCCCCUCCACCUCUGGAUACGUAUAUACACAUAUACAAGUGGAAGUGGAAGGGAGCUGGAGGACGAGGAGGAUGCAAGAGGAACAGGGGAAGGGAAAGGGGGGCAGUGCAGAGAGGGAACAGAGGAACAGGGAUGGUGUGGGGCCAGGCCAGGACAGGCAGGGGUAGCCCACCCCCUCUCUUCCCCUCAAAGGUAGGGGAGUGGGAAGGGGGGGUGUUGUCGUCGUCUUUGUCCUCCCUCCCCUCCGCUACCCCUUUACCGCCCCUCAUAUUUCCUUUCCUUCUUCUUUUCCUUUUCUCUCUCCCUCUCUCCCGUGCCCUUAUUCUUCUUCUUCUUCUUCGUCCCCUGGCUGCUGAUGCUGCUACUUCCUUCCUCUCCUCUCUCCCCCCUGUCCCCGUAUUCUCUCUGCCUCUGCCCCUGUUCUAUUCUACCGAUGGAUGGAUGGAUGCCAACUAUUCUCCCCCUCGGUCUCGGUCGUGGUCUCGAUCUCUGUCGAUCUCUGUCGAUCUCUGUGUAAGUGAGUGAGUAAGUGCGUCUGUGAGAGUGAGUGAGUGCAUCUCUCUGUGUGUGUGUGAGAGUGAGUGAGUGCAUCUCUCUGUGUGAGUGUGUGUGUGUAUCUCUCUCUCUCAGAGUGUGUGAGAGAGUCUGUCUGUGUCGGUCGGUCUGUCCGUCUUUCCCUUUUGCCGUCUUUUUCUCCUUCCUCUUCCUUUCCUCCCCCCUCCUUUUUUCCCUCCUUUUCUCCCUUCCCCCCCUCCAUUCCCUUCCCUGCCCCUUUCCCUCCUCUAUUCUCUAUUUCUAAGUCUCUUUUCCUCCUAUUGCUGUUUCCCGUGCCUCCUCUGCCGCGCUCGCUCUCCCUCUCUCUCUCUCUCUCUCUCUCUCUCUCUCUCCCACUCUUGUCCAGGUCGAGAUGUCACACGACCCCCCCUCGACUGCCUCCGACCCCGUUCUCUUGCAUCCGGAACCCCGCCCCGCCGCUUCUGACCAACUUAAUAAUGCUAGUAGUGUAAUGGACGAAGAAAAACCCCCGCCGGUCUCGCACUCUGCCCCUCAGGGUGUCGUGGAACAGCCACAGAAGGAUAUUAAUCCAGAGGAGGUGGCAGGGACAGUGCUUGAGGGUAGUAGUGAGAAGCCAGGUUCAGGUGCUGCUGCCCAGGCUCCUGUUUCUCAGGAUGACCGUUCUGCAGAGGGAGAAGAAGCAGAAGCAGAUGACGAUGGCGAAAAACUUAGAGAAGCAGAAGGAGAAGGAGAUGACGAGGACGAGGGAGAAGAAGCAGUAGUAGAACAGGAAAAAAAACAGAGGGGGAGAAAGAAGCGACCUGAAAAAGUGAAGAAGGAGUCUACUGAUGACGAGGUGGAGCAAGAUGUCAAGACACCUAAACGUGGUCAGUUCACGGCAGAGAAGAAAGCAGCGGCCUCGUUUGCGUCAGACAGGCCUACGCGGGAGCGUAAGACCAUUGACAGGUUUAUAGCUUCAGCUGAAAAGGACAAUACUAAGGAACUGGAGAUAAAACAGGUACUUCAGGAGUUCCCUUAUUGCCGAACCUCCUGCUAAUCUAGCUAUCCCCACACUUUCAGCAUCAUUGCUUUCAGGGGUUAUCUCUUCUGAGUGUGAUUAUGUUGUAAGGGAUUUCUUACACCCUCAGCUGUCCGACGCAUUUGUUAGGGGGGGAUUUCUCAUGUCUCCUCACCUUCCAUGGCUGGCUUCACUAUUCGAGUGCUCUUUGGAUUUAGACAUCUCAUUCGAACCCGAGAGCCUCAGCGAAACUUUUCGCCAGGCUGGUUGGUCACUCAUCCCUACUUUCUAGGACGAUUUGUAUUGGUGGAUGCUGUAGUGUUUUCUUCCCACACCAGAUAUUUUUGUUGUUUGGUCAGUGUACUUUCAAAUUUAAGUUCCUGUCGGUAGUCAUCGCCCUAAUAUUCCUUUGAAUUAGUGCCUUCCUCCUAUUUUUGAUUUUUAUGAUAUGCUCGUUGCUGUCUUAGCUGUUAGGGCACGCUCUCUGAGAAGGCCAUUUGAAGCUUUUUCAUGCUGCUGGGUUACGACUUCAUAGUUCUUUUCUGCGUGAUAUUGUUUUAAAUGCUGCACUCAGUUUUAGGGCUUGCUGGAUUGUUAGUUUUCUCGCUUUUCCUUUUUGAGUAUUAAGGGUGUCUUCUGAUCCCCUCGGAAUAUCCGCAAACAAAUAGACGUUGAAACAUUAAAUAGCUCGAUAAAGAUGUCAGUACCCGCGAUUUCAUUUUUAGAGUUUCUAUCUAAGAGUGAAGAUGGUUCUUUUUUCUGCAUAUGCAGUGCUUAACUGCUUCUCCUCUCUAUGUCAUCUCGCAUUGUUUUGCAGUCCAUAAAGCAUGCGUGUACAAUGUACUUCUUUACUGUUUAGUGAAUGGCUUCUUUUCGGUUCUAUCGUAACCAUACUUUUUUCGUUUUUCAUUUCAGGGUGAUGGAACGCCAUUGAAGGACAUACCGAAUGGUAAAUUAAAUUUAGUAUUGCUCUUGUCUCGAAUAGUUUGUAGAGAUGAAUUGUCUUUCAUAAACUGUUCUGUUUUUGACUGGGUGUGCGUAGCGUAUCAGUGUAUUUAUCAAAUCGGUUUUUGGGUUUAUAUUCUCUUAAACGUAUUAGUUGUACAUUUUAGUGUAGUUUGAGCUUGAUAUGACACGUUUGGUGAUCCUGGAAGUCAUGUGACCUUUACAGUUGUGUACAAGCUCAGCAAAAGGUUCAAGCAUGAUGAGACAUUGAGUCAACUACAUUCAAUUCUGUUCAACAAGCGAGGGAAGGUGCGUUAUUGUUUGGAUUAAAAUUUUAAAUUUGAAAACUUAAUUAAUUUAAAAUGUUCAGCUCGUGGUAUUGAUGCAUAAUCAUUGGAAGAAGAUUCCUUGUUUCCUUGUUGAUACUAUUCCAUGUGCUUGAAGUGAGAUAAUUAGUCACUAAAUAGAUUAUAUCUUGUAGUCCUCUCUGAUUGUGCGAGUUUUCGAGAUUCCAACAAAUGCUCUAGAAUGCAAUUCAAAUCUGCUUAACCAUCCAUAUGCAUGUAGUAGUAGUGUAUUUUCAUUUUAGUCAAAAGCAUUGUCUGCGUGCGUGUUGAAGUAGUCUGUACUUUUUGGUCAUCCUGAUGACACUGGUAAGAGGUUUUGUUAUUGAAAGAGUUUGACUAUGAUUAUCAUCUCGUCAAAUUUCUACUUGGGAUUUUUUCAAAGUACUGCCGAAACUUAAGUUAUUUUUAGUUAAUCGUUUUUGAAGUCAUUGAUGGUAAGCCGUGAUUUUUGUUGGACAGCUUAACCAUUUUAUUUUUUGCCUGUGUUUUUCUCUGAGGUUGUAAAAGUGAAUUUGAAUGUUAAGUUACCAGCUGGAGCUUUUUAAUUCUAAUCUCUAUUUCGCUGGAUGCCAAGACAUUCCCUUCAGACAAAUAUAAAAAUAAAAGUGAGACAUGAUAUGAGGCGCUAUAUGAUAUAAUUCUUUCAAGAGGUCUUAUUUGUUUGUUUGUUUGUUUAUUUGUUUCAAUUGGGAAAAUAUGGUGGAUAAAUAUGUCAUGGGUUUUUUUUCUCUGUCCUUCGUGUUAUGUUAUACGACGUCCAUUGGUAAUAGUAAUAACGCUUGUAGAUUUUGCUAAGGAUUUUGAUGUUGCAGAAAUGAGUCUAGACUUGUUUUAGUGUAUUAUUUGUGGUUGAGCAUGGAUUGUUUUAAUAACUAUGCGGGAUCUACAUUCGAACGACUUGGAGGUACAUAUUGACACCCUAGUUAUAAGAUGUAUAGAGCAGGCGGUGAUGACAUGGAGCUCAAUAAAAGCAUAGUGAUUGCAGACGUAGAAACUUAUGUCAAACGUUUUUCUGUGCAUUACUUGAAAUAAUGCGCUACUGUAUGCUGCUGUUGAAAUUCAACUAGAUGAUCCUCUUACACAUUAUUUUUCAUUCUUAGCACUUUGAAGGUUCUGUGAUUGUCUUGAUGAAGUUUAUUGAAUUCCUGAAACGUUCCUAGUUACUUGCAUUUCUACUUGCAUUCUCACUGCGAUUCUUCGCUAGGAUGGCGCGGAUUCUUAGAAGAGUUGGCUUGACUUUGGUUUUUCGUUGCCUUCCAUUUUUCGGUUUUGUGGGGUUCAGAGUUGCUUCCGAGAUGUUGGCAUUCUCCCUGUUAUGGUGCUUUCUAAUUUUCGCAUCGUUGAUAUGAUGAAUACCUGACUGUUCUUACGUGUAGUAAGCCUUCAAGAUGCUGUCAAACGGAGUUUUAUAGUGGUGUAUUGAUGCAGGCUGCUGUUUUGAAGCGACACAUCCUGCAAUUUUCCGGAUAUGUGUGGAGUGAAAACAAGGUAUGACCUGAGUCAGUUGCUUCGUGGCACUCCCCGUCAGUGUGUCUCUGUCAUUCUUAUGCUUUUCGUCGUCAGCUUAGAAUGUCUCUUGCCUCUAUGCCGUUGCUUAGUUUUAAUGCAACGUAACAUGUUUGUUUCAGGAGAAAGAGAGAGCAAAAAUUCAAGAAAAGCUUGAGCGUUAUACAAAGGAUAGUUUAGUGCAAUUUGUGGAUGUAUUGGACAUUCACGUGUCGAAAACCCUCAAAAAGGUACGGUGCGUCGAUGGUAAACAUGCCGCUUGCUGUUUCUUGCAACAUUCUUCUCGUGUUGUUCAGAAAUAACAGUCGUGUCUGAGUAUUCCUGGCGAACUGAAACAUGAAUGCAGGAGGACCUUGUGGCUAAAGUGUUAGAGUUUCUGGAGAAACCUCACCGAACGACUGAUACUUUGUUGGAAUUCAAGAAUCAGGUGAGAGCGUGUGCAGUUGUCCCUUUCUUAGUGGUUUUCUGUCUGAUACACUGGCACUUUCUCCCAUUUCGUAUUAUUUCUUGAUUAAUUAUGCACUCUUAAUAGGGUUACUAACGUUUGAUGCAGUUACUGUUGCUCUCAUCGAUAGUUGCAUAAUGGGGAUGCUUUAAAGUGCCAGCGUAUAGUUACACUCUUUAAUACUUUUUUAGCUGAUAUACACAAACACACACUCACACACUCAGUUUUCCCCCUUUUUUUCCUUAACUCUGAUCAGAGCAAUGAAUCUUUGAAAUCUCUCUCUCUCUCUCUCUCUCUCUCUCUCUCUCUCUCUCUCUCUCUCUCUCUCUCUCUCUCUCUCUCGCUCUAAGUUAAUUGCGUAUAUUUCAAGAAUACUGAACAAAGGGCUUUGAAUAGGAGCGCACCUCCUUAGGAAAGAGAUCGUCAUCAGGAAAGAAACCAGGAAGACCUAAGGUAUGUUGAUCGCUCAAUGCUCGCGAAGUUCGAGAAGGAUGCUGUUGUUUGAAGGUCUGAUAUUGACACCAUAGGUUUGAUUAGAACUAUUUUGUUUCUUCAUAAUGUGUGAAUAUUUUAGUGUUAAUGUCGAGGCCAAUAACAACAUUUUCAGAUUCAAAAAGCUGAAGGGAAGUCCACUCGAAAGCGUGAGAGGAAGAAAGCUUCCGACGAUGCAGAUAGCGACAACUCUGAGAAGGACAUUGAUGGUGCGAUAGUGGAGGAAGAGUCGGAGAAAAAGCGUUUGGACUUCAAGGAUGACACCGAUAAUGAUGAGUCGAUGGAUGUGGAGAAGGAGCAAGUAAGAGAUUCCAGCACAGUAAUUGAGGUUUGUCUUAUAACGAACAGUAAUUUUUAGCUUCGUUGUUUAAAUUCCACUUUUUCAGUGUUUUAAUUGCUUCCAUUCCUAAUUUACUAGUUAAACCUAUAUUAAAAUAUACUUAACUGGGAGUUUCAGUUUCCUUUCUUUGCAUUGAUUGUUGAUUGUGUAUAAUUCACAAUCCAGCAAGAUUCUGAGGAAAGACCUGCCGAGGAAGAGGGGAAUCAAGUGGAUAAGGAAGUACACAAGCCCCCAAGAAAAAAGUCCAAGGUUGGGGCUCAUGACGUCACCCGGAAGUCACCAUCAAAGGCCGCCGAUAGAGUUUAUUCAAAGAAGUUGAAAGCAGAAGCCUCAAAACGUGUAUCCUCAUCUACAGCUUCAAAGCAAUCCCGUAAGACUCCAGGAAAAAAAAAUUCACUUGAAGACAAUGGUGAGAACUCUAUUUCGUCUUUACUCUGGUGUUAUUAGUUUCUCUACUAUCGCGCCAUUGACGGGCAAUGGAUCAGUGGGACCACCUCACUUAUUCCUGUUUUAGUUGUUUUGAGAUUUUUUUGAUACGUCUGUUGCAUUACUCUACUUCUGCGGAUGCUUUCCAUUUGGUUAGCACAAUUCAAAAUGCUUUCAGCAUUGUAUUCGAAUAAUUUUAUAUUUUUGGUGGGAGGUAAUUCCAGAGUCAAUUUUGCGGUGCAUAUUGACGUCUUAAACAUUUGAGAGUGCAUCAUCGUGAGGAGCUUUUUAAGUUGGUAUCUCGGGUUUUCUGUGUUAUUGGGUGUUAUCAUUUCCCUGAUACGUGUUUGCUUAGGCAGGGUUACUGAAAGUAGUUUCUAACCAAUAUGCAUGAUUGUUGCAGAUGCAGGGAAGAAGUCUAUUGUGAAAGGCGGUGAGUCAAAUAAAUCUGCAAUUCCCUCUGAUGGGGAACUGCAGGCUAAGAUCCGAGAGCUUCUCAGAGAAGCCGACUUCAGUAAGGUAAAAAUGAUUGUUUGUCACUGAUGUUUAUGUCAGGAAGGAAAUUUAUGCUUCAGUGGGAUGACGUCACUCGAUUUUCUGAUGUGUUCGGGCUUACUGUAAGUGUUUAUAAACUUGUAACCACCACAAUUGGUUCUACAAUUGUAUCACACAAUUAUUGAUAACCCUUCUCAUUCGUUCUCAAUGAGUUUAAAUGUAGUAGUUAAACCCGCAGUUGGUCGCUACUCAGAUAGAUGAGAGCGUGGUCGAUCGUGGUUGUGGAAGCCUGUUAUUGAUGGCGUGUUUCUGUUGAUUGAGUGUGCUUCUAAUUGACUUCAGAAUAAUUUUUUUAUCUCACCUUCCGCUUUGGUAAUGAUCGUGCUGGAUAACUUUGAGUUGAUAGUUAAUUCAUUAUUCAUUAUGCUUGGUUCAUUUCGUCUCUAAAAGGCUCUCUGAAAUUUUCUGGCCGUUACUUUUCAUUCCUUGUGAUCUCAACUCUUCUUGUUUCCAAAGCUAACUAGCAUACCCUUGUUUUAUUGACACUACAGGUUACGUUCACAGAUGUCGUUUCCCAGCUUGGUGAGAUUUCCAUGAUUAUUUUUCUUGUUCAUUCUGUCAUUUAUUUUUAGUUAAGUUCCUGAUCUCAAAUCCAGUAGUAGCAAGACCUGGUAGAAUUAAAAGUUGAUGCUGAAAUCUUGUUGUAGAUAAAUCUGAAAGUUUUGCAUUUUUUACUUGGAUAUUAUGAGUAGCACUGAUUCCCUUCUUUCAUGGCAGAGAGGAUAUUUGGAGUCAGUCUCGUUGAGCGAAAAGGACACGUUAAAGGACUUAUUAGGGAUGAAAUCAGCAAACUUACUGAGGCAGAGGAGGAAUCGGAGAAAGAUGCCGAAGAGACCGCAGAAGAUGAGUAACCCAAUUUAAGCAGUAGUGAGUUUAAGACAUUGUUAUUCCAGCCCCAUUUAGCCAUUAUUGUGAAGUCCCACCACUGUAGUCUUUCCCAUGCGGCAAAAGUAGAUGGAAAGUAGGGGCACUUCAGUGCUGUUUCACGCUAUUCACAAAUCCCUACUUCUUGAGGUGGGUUCCUCACAAUAACAGUUCUUUUCAGAAAGGGGAAGCUGUUGCACUUACGAAUUAUAAUUCACUGUUUUUCUUUAUUGUUAUAUCGAUGCUUGUCAUUUACUCAAAUUACUGGAUUACUUCGGUAACUCAAGUAAAUUAAUUUGUGCCAGUUUUGACGUAUCAGACGGAACUAGGUCCAUUGCUGAAUGCAUGUGAAUAGCUAUCUUAUCUUUUAGUACUUUUUAUUAUUUAACAUCUUUCUACUGGCGGAUUCUUCAUCAAAUAUUUAUGUAUGAAUCAAUUAAUGAUGUGUGAAUCUUGCUAACUUUGCUGUCAAUAUAUGAAUUUGUAGAUUGGAAUUCAAGAGGACAACGCACAAUUUUUUUUUGAGGAUAAUUUGUGAAAUAUGAUGUUCCAACUUUUCUCAUAAUCAAACUUAAAUGUUCCGUAAUAUAUAAAUUUGUAGUGAAAAUCAAAUGAUAUAUUACAGUUUUUUUUAUUGUGAAGUGAAAUUGAUUGAUUUUUGAAUCCCAGAAUUGAGAUGUGACCUCCCCUCACCAUGACAUUUGCAUGGCUUCACUGUACUUUUAAAAGAAGUGUGCUUGAGCUAUUUUUCUUAUAUCAAAGCAUAAGUCGGGUGAUAAGUGAAUCAAGGUUUUCUUAACUGAGGAAUGUUCAAUUCUUGGGCAGGUUGUAACGUUGUGGUUUAAUGUUAUUUUGUUGUCUAUUCAAUUUGUUGAAAUGAUCAGAAUUGGGUGAACUAAUUGAAAAACAUGUUUUGAAUUGUUGGUAAAUGCUUGUCUAAAAAUUGAAAUAUCAUUGAUGUUGUGCAAAUACAAUUUUAGAACAUCAAAUUGACCCACCUAAAGAUUAAAUUUACAAUAAAAUAGAAACAAUUGUUAAUUAUUUUCAUCAUUUGUCAUCUUCAAAAAGUCCUCUUCUUGCUAUAUUUCUUAAGCCACUAUGUCUUCCUAAUCACCACUAUUGCAUUCCUAACUUCUCAUCAAUGUAAAACAAUUGACAUGCUUUUUUUCUAUCAUUGUAGUUAAUCUCUCAAACUCAAAUUCCAAGCUCUUGUUCUAUGUUGAUCCAUUAUAAUAUUUUCUAGGAGUUCCAUUCUCUACUCCUCUUUCUUCUUGCGUAAUCAACACAUCACUAAGUGAAAAAUUGACACAUUGGUGAGGGAGUGCACUACCCCAAGUAGUGUAGGAGUGGAGCAAAGCAAAACAAAGACAAGUGGGUCAUUUAUGUUUUAUAUGUAUUAAUUUAACAUAUCCCCAGUUUUAUAUUCAACUUCUUUGUUUUGUAGUUUGAAAUACAUUUUUAUUACUAUUGUACAUCAUCAAAUGAAGUUUUGCAAAAUAUAAAUAUAUUUUCAUUUAAUAUUGAAUAGUUCUAAAUUGAAUAUAAUAAUCACAAUUUACUUUAUUAAAAAACUUAAUCAUUAUAGGAUUAAUUUCUUGUACAAAAAAAAAAAAUCCUUAAAAGAAAAUAAAGUUUAGAAACUAUAAGAAAAGAAAAAAAGAAGCAAAAAGAACGAAAAGUAAAGAAAAGAAAAGAAAAAGACACACACAUAUAUUGAAAAUUUGUGCAAAAAAUCAUCAAUUCUAAACUUAAUACUUAUCUAAAAUUAAAAAUUCCAACUAUAGAUUAUUUAUUUAUUUAUUUACUUAUUUGUUUAUUACAUAAUGAUGUACAAAAGUAAUAUUAUCAUAAAAAAGCAAGGAAAAUUAAUUUAAAGUUUUUAAAAUUUUUAUUAAAAAAAUAUAAUUUUAUAAUGGUUUAUCCAAAUUUUUACAAAUAUAAGAUUAUAAAUAUGUGUCAAAAUGUAAUACAAUAUUACAAAUGUUUUACAAAUACAAGAUUAUAAAUAUUUAAAUUAUCGUUUUUAUAUUUUAAACACAUCAAAAUGAUAAUUACCUAAAAUAUUUUUCAAAAUAAAACUUAAAAUUAUGCUUUUAAAUUUUAUUUAUGAAGAAAUAAAUAUGAACCAAAAUAUUUAUAGGACAAAAAUGGUUAAUUGCUUGACUUCAAUAUUCAAAUAUUUUAAAUAUUUUAUUUAGAGAAUUAAUAUUUUAUUUAGAGAAUUAAUAUUUUAAUUGUAUUACUAUUUUAUUUAUUUAUUUUUUAAAAUAUUAUUUAUAUCUACAUAAAUAAAAACUAAAACAUUUAUGAAAGCUUAUAUAAUUGUCAAGGACAAGAACUCAAUGAAAAAGCAAUUCAGAUAAGUAAGCAUUCGCUCAAAGAAAGGUAACAAAAUAUAAAUAAACAAGUACGUAUAUUGAAAGAGAACUGGAAUGGCUAUUACCAAAAGACAAGAAAAUUAGAAACCCUUGAAACUAGACUAGAAGCAAGAAAGGACUUGACAAGAGUGAAGAAGGCUUCACUCUUGUCUCUAUAUAUACUAUCUAACUAGGGGCUACAUGGCGAUGUUCUAUAUGACCUCCAAUAAGUGUUGACUUUGUAGGACACAUGCCUUGACUUACAAGGCAAAUUUUUAUAUGUGGGCCAUAUUGUUAGCUUGGUCUUCAAGCUAACGUGUGUGGCACAUGGCCAACUUGUUGACCACGUUUCUAAUCCAAAAGUCAAUUAAAGACACCUAUAAAGUCAAAGUAACAUCUAUGAAGCUUCUAAGAAGCUUCCAUACCAAAUACUAUAGAAUUAAGUUAUUUUUAUCUACUUUUACUUACUUCUAUCUGUUUAUAUAUGUAAUUACUGGCUUACAUGAGUAUGUUUGUGACAUUACCUUCCCUUCUAAGGACGAGUUUCACGAGGAGCGAUCAUCAUAUAUUGAUGAAAUCUAUGAUGCGAUAAAUUGUAUUCACCACAUACUCUGAUCUUUGUUCUCUUUGAAGAUGAUUGAUAGGGCCUCUCAACCAUCGGUAGUGUCCCAUACCAAGGGGGGAAGACUACCCAGUUAUUUGAUCAUUGUUGAGGCCUUCAUAACUUCCUUCGAAUAGAACAUUUGGAACACCAUCAAGAGUUGUUCCUACCUCUAGUAAAAUCACCAAACAUGGGGAGUCCCUUCCCAAGUUGUGAUACCAAAGACGUUGUAUCUCGCCAUCUAUUCGAAGAUGAACAUGUCGUUCUUAAAGAUCUUCAUCUCGAUUGCGUCCUCUUGAAGGUUGUAAUAAUCGUAAUGUCUCGUCUAGCAGUUCAACAAAUGAAGGAUCUUGAGUCGAAUCCACUGGUUGUUGGUUCUCCAUCUCUCGAGCAUCACAACUACAAAGAAGCUAUAAACAAGGAUUAAAAGUAGAAUGUUAUCUUGGCUAGAUGUUUUUUUUAUAAAGAAGGUUUUCAUCUUGAUUUUGAUGGAUGUCGUCGAUGAAAAGCCUACACCGUCUUUGUUGCAUUUAUAAGAUUCUUUACUCACUCCCAUGUGCGUUCACUAAUAUCAUAUCCGUGCUAAUGUACAAGAUAUUCUAAUUUAUUUCGAUGUCGCCUUGAAUCUAAGACUUCUUCUACUUCAAACUCUUCAUUAUUGUCCACUUCUAUAGGAGGAGGUGGAGCUUGUCGUCUUCUUGGUAUGUCCACUAUCUUGUAUGGUUCAAGAAGAGAUACGUGGAAUACUAGAUGGAUUUUUAUUGACUCCGGUAGAUAUAAAUGAUAUGCAACUGGAUUGAUUUGUGCAGAAAUAGAAAAUGGUCCUAGCCUUCGAUAGUCCACUUGUCACAAGGACAAAUGGUUUUGAUAUUGCGACGAAGUAGCCAUACCUUACCACCCAAGUGGAAUGGUGGUUGUUCCUUUCGAUAGACAUUUGCAUUGAUCUUUUGUUGUUCUUGAGCUUCUUUUAAGUGCACCUUCAUCGUUGCAUGUAGCUCUGACAAAUAAAUCGCCAAAUCUUUCGCAGUAGGAUUAUCAACUUUUGAAAAGUCAAAAGUAUCAAGUCGUGGAUGAUAACCAUAAUUAGCAAAAAAAGGUGUUUGUUUUGUAGAAGAAUGUACUAUGUUAUUGUAAGCAAACUCUGCCAAUGGCAAAAGAGUUGUUCAAUCAUCUUGUUGGUAGUUAAUGGUACAUCUUCAAUAUUGCUCCAAAACUUGAUUAACUUGCUCUGUUUGUCCAUCAGUUUGAGGAUGGAAUGUUGAAGAUAGUUUUAUAUCCAUUUUUAGAAUCUUGAAAAGAAUCCGCCAAAAUCUUGAUACAAAUUGAGUUCCUCUAUCUGAUAUAAUAUCCUUGGAUAAUCCAUGAUAGCGAUAAAUAUUGUCAAGAAAGAGCUUAGCUGUUUCUUCACCUGUGAUAGAUUUUGUAUAUGGUACAAAAUGUGCCAUCUUGGUAAAACGAUCUACUAUCACAAAUAUAGAGUCAUAAGAACCUGAGAUUAGAAGAUCUGUGAUGAAGUCCAUAGAAACAGAAGACCAUGGUUGUUCUGGAAUGGGUAAUGGUUGAAGAAGUCCAAAAAGUCAAUGAUGAGGAGUUUUUGAUCUUGAGCAAACAUCACAUGAUUGUACAAAAUCUUUGACUGCCUUUCACAUUUGAGGCCACCAAAAAUCCCUAGAUAUCAGCUCCAAAGUCUUAUUAUAUCCAAAAUGUCAUGCUGCUGGGAAGUCGUGACGAGCUUGAAGAAUAUGUAAACGUGCUUUUCUUUCUGGAACAUAUAGGUGUCCUUCGAAAUAGAGUAGGUUGUUCUUAAAUUCAAAUUAGAGGGAUCAUGAGAUUUAGAAGAAUUAUUCUUGAUAUCAUGAAUAAGAGGGUCUGAAGACAUACUUAACUGGACUUGCUUAAGAAAAGUUAAAUCAACAGUCAAUGUUGAUUUUAUUGCUCGAAGAUGAAAUUGCUUCAGCUUCAAGAGAACCGUUCUUUGUUGCUCAAAAGCUGUAUCUCCUUCUUUUGGUGUAAGAUAAGAGCGUCUAGACAAGGCAUCAGAAAAACCUUGUUGUUUUCCUGGCCGAUAAGUGAUGAUGAACUCGAAUCUUGAUAAGGACAUGCUCCAAGGAGCUUGACAACGAUUUAAUACGCGUGCUGAAAUAAAAUAUUCGAGGUUCUUGUGAUCCGUUGUCGUGAUGUAACAUGGAUAACAAGUGAAAGGGUGAAGAAAAUAUCAUGUUUUGAUGAUCUCACUUCAAAAAUAUUAUAGCAAAUUAUUUUAGAAAAAUAAAUAUUAGUCAAAGGUUAGAAAAAUUAAAGGUGCUAAUACUGCCUAUUUACAAAUUAUGCUUCUAUUUACUUUUUAAGGCCAUAAAUAAGACAAAACAAGGUAGAUUAGAAAAAUAAAGGAUAUAAGCAUAUGUAGGGAGGAUUUAGGAGUGAAAAUUAGUAAAAAUUACCUGAAGAAGAUGAAAGUUGAUACCCGAAGAAGACCAGUUAUGAACCUGGGUCAAAAUCAGACCCUAAGGCACAAAACCGUAUUCUGACGGUGACUCAAGGAUUCUUUGGGAGGUUGGAGAGUCGAAUUAGGGGGCAGGGAUUUUUGAGAGGUGAUUUCGUGUCGUUUGGAUCAGUAUUGGAUUUUUGAAGGAUUUUCAAAGCGAGUGAUGUUCUCUGUGAAUUUAGAUCUUUGAGAAAUAAAAUCGGUUUACAAAUUUUUGGAUUUUGUGACUUUUGUAGCAUUUUUAUGGGUGAAAAUUUAGAGACUUAUUGGUAUGCUUGUUGUAAAUGUGUAUAAGAGAUUUGAAGUCAAUCGAAUGGCUAGAUCGAUACAUAUGAAGGUUAUUGUGGGCUAAAGUCUCAAGAUUUAGGGUUUUAAGGACCAAUAAGGUUUUCUUAGAUAUCUAGCAAUCUGCUAAUUGGAUUGGAGAGAUUCUUGGUUUUACCAAUAGAAGAUUUGAUUUCCUAUAUGCAAGUAGAAUUUGGAAGCAAUUGAAUGGUGGAAAAGGAGAUAUUGGCACUGGAAGUUUUGCAUCAGAUUGGAGAAGGAGAGGCCGGCCGACAUCCGAGUGGAGUUUUGAGGUCAUCAACUAAUUAGACCUUUUGUUGCAAUUUUCUUUUAUCUUCCACAGCCAGGUACUCAGUGCAUUCUCAAGCAAGACUUCACGUAUUAUGACAUAAUUUGGUGAAUCCGACAUGAAACGCUUGAGAUGGAAGGAAUUUAAUUUUCAUGGAUUAUUUAAAUUUUGAAGAAGAAAGACAAGAAAGUUGAAAGAAGAGCUUUGGAUGAUAUGUGAAUUGGAGCUUUUGAAUUCUUAGAGCUUUGGAUACUAUCUUAAAAUAAAAUGGCAAUAUUUGGAUUAUCAUAGAAUAUUAUAAGACUUUAUAGAUAUGUUGAAGUAUUGUGAAGUAUCAUAAGGUAUUUAUAGGAGCAUUUUGAUGUACUAUUUGGAGCAUUUGAAGGAACAUUUUUGAUCAUUGUAGAAAAAAAUAGAAGAUGUAUUAUCAAGGUUUUUGGAUAUGCCAAAUAUUAUGGAUGGGUCAAAUAUUAGUGAGUUUUUUAAAGCUUUUUAUAUAUUUAUGGAGGAGCAACAAAGAA
rnacentral:lncRNA from 1 species